AAAAGUGGGUGGAUGAUGGGAGCAGGAGCAGCGAAAACGGGCUCGUUACGGAUGAGACUGAUGGGAGUAGUAGCGGCAGAGGAGGAGGAGUUGAGCUUGGCGGUGGCGACAGGGCGGAACGCAACUUUAGAUUGAGUUGAGGUGGUGGUGGUGGUGGAAGUGAGGAGUUGAGAAGCAAAGCAGCUCUUAAUAGUUGAAAUGGAGCAAUGGGCCAUAUUCUAUUAUUCCCUCCCACUACUAGUUUGAUUAAAAAACACUUCAACUUGCAUGCAUGUAAAUAGACUGAGCACUGAUAGCGAAAGCUGGGUACACCACCAUACCUUCUCCAUGCUUACGGAUCAGGUUUCGAUUUUCGACCUCUACUUUUUCCUCGUCCCUCAUAUUUUGUUUUUUCUAUGGAGAUAUCUAGAAAUAAAAUUAAUUAACAAAGGGAAAUGCAUUAUGAAAUUAAUUACUUCAAGUUCAUUAUCGUUCCAUUUUGCAUGCAUGUCACACACUCUUCACGUAUUUUUUUUUUCUGUUUUAUGUGACACAAUUAAUCUGAUUAAAUUUCAUCAAUCUUAUUAUGUGAACUUAUUUUGAAAUAUGAUAAUUGUCUUUAAUUUGAAUAUUUGGAUUUCAUUAUUUUCUUAUUUUAAAUUAAAAAAAAAAAAAAAAAAAAAAGAUUUGAAAAGCUGGGGCAAAUGUAAAGGGACAAAAGCCUAUUAAACCAUUAACCUUAGAAUGACACGUCAGAAGAGAGGGAUGAGUUUGUGAUGGAGAAAUGAUUUAACAGAGUUAGGGAUGAGGUGCAGAAAAAUUGUUGGAUAUUAGUUGAAUCAAAAUAUGCGGUGCACCGGCGACUGACAUUUUGGCCUAUGGGGGGUUAGAAGAUGAUGAAAAGGGAUAAGGUCCUAUCUUCAAAACUUGGUUACAAUGCUGCUCCACAUCUACAUUUUUAUCUUAUUAUCUUACACUCAAUUUAUUUUUCAGUGUACAUGCAUAUUGAUAUUUCAUUCUCUUUUUUUUUUUUCAAAAAACAAAAAACAAAAAAUAAAAAUUGACCACUAAAGUUUCAAGACAAGAAAAUGUUAUCUUUCCUCGUAUAAAAAUGCUGCACUUGGUGAAAUACAUAGUGUAGUUUUUUUAUUCUUGAUUAACACACAAUCUUUACAAAUAUAGACGUGGAUGUGUGAAUCUAUAUACGUGUAUGGUAAAAUAAAACAAACUAUGCAGUACUGCCUUGAAGAAGCGCCUAAUUAGUUUCCUUAAGAGGACUUUUAAAUCCAUAAUCCAGCUGCAAAAUACAUGGGGGAAAGAAAAUUGAACAAAUAAAAAAAAAAAUUAAAAAAAUUAAAGUGAUCAACUGAUACAAGUAUACAAACCCUGGAUUCAGUUAUCAUAUGUAUCCAAUCCAUGCACCAAUUUUGGAAGGCAUUCUUGUUUAGCUGAGAGGGGAUAUCUCCCCAGACCAAAAUGGGCUACUGCAAAUUGUUGAUGAUUUUUCAUCUUCUGGAAAGAAAAAUAUAAAAAUGAAGGCUUGUAUGAGAUAUUGAAUUAAUUUGGGGGGGAUAGUGUGGUUUUUUUUCGUUGUAUUUAAGGCAUGAAGCUGUUCGAGUUAUGUCAACAUUGUUACAACAUCAUUUCUCGUACUCUUGUGCGUGACUUACACUUGUGACACCUAACCUAUUACCAGUUAACUUUCUUUAUUUUGUAUUUUUUUUCGGAAUAAAAAUAUAGCAAAAAUUAUGAAACUUGUCUUGUGGGCUAGUUAAAGCUCUCUGGGCCCGGUUUGGUUAGAAUAUGAAAUCUGCCACCACAGUGUCGACAUUUAUAGCUCAAGUCCUCGCCACGUGGCAUUAUUCUACAGGUUAAACUGAUAACCGGAGAAAUAAGAAAAGCACUACACGAUUCUCCGGACGACGUCGUUUCAGCCUCUAGUUAGUUAAGAUCGUUACAGAUUGACAUAAUCAAUCAAGCUAAACAAGUUACUUUGAAGGAUAGGAUUUUGCACCACACCAGCUAUAUAACAGAAAAUUACAUUCAACAAUAAAUAUAUGUUUCUAUUUCCGAGCACCUCGUAACUUAUAAGUAAUAGAUCGUAAGAGUCCCGAAUUGAGCACACCAAUUCGGGAUCACGUACGUUGUCUUUCAUCGCCAUAAGUCUUGAUUCUGAUAUGCGGAGUGUUCUUUGUACAACACAAAGUUUAUUUUUUCAAUACAUCAAAUAGGACUCUCUAUAAACUUAUUGCUUUAAUACAUUAAAUACGACUAGGCUCUUUCGAUACUGAAGUUGACGAACUUCGUGGGAUAAAUCGAAUACGACUAGGCUCUUGCAUAGUGAACAGGCCACUCCAUAUCUCUUCACGCACUCACAUUCUCAAAUAUAGAGCCUAUAUAUGCGCAUUGCAAAUAAAGGAUGUAAAAGCCACGAUCCAGAAAAACGAGCAGGGUAGAUGAAAAAAACUUCCCUUGAACAAUUUCCAGAUGUUGAUUUUCUCGACUAAUCAAUGAAAGGCUGUCAUCAUUUCGGGGCCAGCUUUAUUGGACAGACACCGAAAGCAACACAUCGAGCUGCUUUUGCUAACAUAAAGCGUUCAUUUUCGGUCAAUGGCCUCUCAAUGACCUUUAUAAUGUUUGCAUCCUAGUACAUACACAAUCCAACUACCAUCAGCACUCAUAACAGAAUAAUAAAAAUACUAAAUGUAAUCCGUCAGUUCUAUAUCUGUAUCGUUUUGGAAAGAGAAAAGAGAGAGAGAGAGAGAGAGAGAGAGAGAGAAAAAGAAUUAGCUUAGCAAAGGUUAUUUCAUUGCGGAUUUAAAUUUAUAAUACCUUCUUUUGUUGUUGAACGGAAGGUUUCACGCUGGCAAUAUCGCCCACUACAAUCACAUUAUUGACAUUCCCACUGUCAUCUCUUUCGAUUGGUGAAGCUGUUGAAUGCCUCCAGUCCCCAUUAGUUAUAUAUUUGUAGUAGUACCUGACAUAUAUAUAGAACUCAAUUCUUGCCAUGUAAGUGACGUAAAAUAUUUGGUGAUGCUUUCGUUCUCCUCUAGAAUUCAAUAAGAGGAGAUAUCAUUCUUCAUAAAUUUGAGCAAGCACAAAAUAAAUCUUUCUAAAUAACAGGAUUAGGGAGUACUUACUUUCCCUGUGGAAGUCUGAUUUCAACUUCAUAUCUUGGUCCACCCUUAUGGACUGCCUUGAUUGGCUCUUUCCAGUUCCCGGUAAAAUCGCCCACCAGAGCCACAUCUUCUCCCUGAAACGAGAAGUGAUAAUUUCUUCAAUUAGAAAAAUAAGAACGACAUUUGACUUAAUCUCCAAUCAUAAAGAUUUAAAACUCUGUUUUUGUUGGCUUGGUAAUAAUCUUCUCACCUCAUGCCCAUUCCAUACAAAUGUGACUGCAUGCGUCGAAGGUCCAUCAGGGUUGCCACUUUCAACCAUGGCUAUGAGAUCCCAUGUUGCCCAAGCAAUUGCUGGUCUGCGUUUAACAUCUUUGCUUAAUUAAUGCAUUUGGUUUACAGAGAUUCAUCUUUUCUUUUAUUUACCAUCCUAACUUGUACGACACUGACAACGAGAAAGGCAAAACAAAAUUGAAUAUAGGAAGUAGAAUACCUGUCAGGUUUGCAUGAAUGCAACCCAGUAACGAAAUUGUAGGCUGCAUGAAGGGAAGUAUCUGUCAUCCAGUGAAGGUAUGCGAUAACACAAGCAGGGGAUCGAUCAAACCCUGUUGUGCAAGUGACGUAAACACGAUGAUUCUUCUUAAGUAAACGUAGCAGAACACCCACACAGAAUGGCAAUUUCUUUCUGAUGUCAAAAGAAUCUCCAUCCCUGAAAAAAAUGAAAAAAAAAAAACACGAAUCGUAGAACAUCAUAGUAAAUACAGGAGUAUUUGUUUUUGUAACUAACCAUAUCUCCAAAAGGUAAAUCAAAUACGAUAUUUAUUGAGUUGCUUAUUGACAACAUAAAAUAAUGAUAUUUAGAUAGCAAUGAGGCAAUACUGGUUUGUAUGAAUUUUCCUCAGAUAGACAAAUUGCAGUUACCUUAUUGGAUAGCUAAUCAUAAGGAUAUUAGACUUUUGGCAUGCUUCGUUUAUCGAAUUUGAAUCAAUUUCCCAGUUCGCAGCUUCAGACGCACUCUGGAAAUUGAGGACAGCAGUGACUCCCUGAUGCAGGUAUUGCAGAUUGUUUUAGGAGAGCAACUGAAUAAAGAACAUAUCACAUAUACAAUACUCUUUACGAGAUAAUGUCCAGAACAAAUAAUCUCAGUACUGCUUUUCCAUGUUCUUCUUGAUAACUAGAGAAACUUAAAGCUAAAAUACUAUGAUGAUGCUUUCAGAAGUGAAUCUCAAACUCAGUCGAACUUCUGAAAUGUCUCCUCAGCAAACUUCAAGUAGGUAAUAUGGGAUAUCUGAAGAAACUUCUUGUAUAGGAUGCACAAUAUACAACUGCGAUCAGAAUCAAAGAAUAGAAAGAUGCAAAUAAAGCAGUAGUAUAUAGAACAAAAGGCAUGAUCUCUCUCACCGCAGUGGUAGACAAAAUCUCCACAUCUUCUUCUGUUUGAAUACAUGAGCCAACGUGAAUUUGUUCCGUAAUCUAUCAGAGAGCAAAGAAAAAACAUCAGUAGGAUGAAAGUUGUAUAUAACACAUAUUGCAUCAGAAGCAAAUGCAAUACAUAAGAUGUGUGUAUGUCACGCGUUUGCAAACUCUAACAAACUGGAUAGUAGAAAUCCUUUAAUUCUGGGACAAUAAUAUAAUGACAAAUCCAAGCAUUACGAGUGAAUUAGUUCAAAAGCAUACCUUACUAUAGCGCAUACCAAGAGAGUGAUCAUAAUAGAGCUCUCCUUUUGAACGUUCCAAUGCCUUGACAUACUCUUCCAAUGGGAAGCUCCCAUGUGCCCAUUCGGCAUCUUCAGACACUUCCGCUGUGAAAAUAGCUACUAAAGGACUAAAAGGUAGAUCAGGGCUGUUCUUAGCCAUUUGUGGUUUCUCAUUCUUGCUCUCAUCAUUUAAAUACUUCCACCCUCGUGAAUUUAAAAAUUUGGGGCAAAACACAGCAAACCCACAGUUUCCACUGCUCUCAGCUGACGCCCCCAAAUUUGAUGCUCGUAUAGUUUUGUUCCAAGUGGUCACUGGAACACGACCUCGAUUAAAUAAAAUGUCGAGAUCAUUAAGGAGAAAGAGUUGAUGGAUCGGAAAAGGGGAGAAGGGUCUCUCAAGUACAAGGCUACAAGAACCCGAUUUCUCCUUUGUAAAAGUCCUGCAUAUAAUUGCGCAACGAAUACAGUAACUAAAUAGAUAUCUAGGUUGAUCAGAACACAAUUUAUAACGAGUUAUAUGGAUAUGUCAAACAUAUCAUUUGGAACAAUUUACUCUGUAUCGCCGAAAUCCUUGAUCUCAAUAAGCUUCCCAUCGGAUGAUUCACUUGCCUUCUUCAAAGUAUCGCCCACCAUAAUUAUCCUCGAUUUCUCAGCAUUACCCUACAUUAUCACUUGCCGAAAUUAAUUAAACGAUAUCACCACCAAACAACAAUAUAAUACUCCACUCCAUAGGUCCACCAAUUCAAGUAGAACUAAACUUUUUCACUACCAUACAUUUUAAAUAACCUAAUACAUUAGUUCAGAUCACGCUUAAGAAACUAGAUUCUCGUAAGGAAAAAAGCAAGUACCCCUUUUCGAAGCGCAUGCACGAAAACUUUUCCGUCGAGAGAGAGGGCGAAGCGGAUGCCCAGGGGUUUAUCAAGCGUCACCAUGUACUCAUUCAAAUUCAUCUUGAAUUCGGUGGAGGAGGACAUCGCAAAAACCCUAGGAUCUCUUCCAUUUGACCGUUGCCUCUUCUCGCCGCCUUUUCCGUCGUACAAAUUCAAACCUCCGCCCCCCCAAAACGAGGAGCGGAUUGCAAAAUUGCUCCUCCGCAGCUUCUUCUCAGCCGAAGGGAAGCCGGCGGCGAAAGUCGACUGGUGAUUGAAGCCUCUGCAAUUCGACAACUGCAGAGAACACAUCUCAAUUCAGCUGAAAAUUGAGUGGAUUUUGAUCCAGAUAUUUCAGAACUACACCAAUCAAAAGGAACUAUAGCAGUAUUUGAGAAGUGUAUGUAUGUGUGUAUGUAUAUGUGUAUGUAUAUAAUGGCGCAGUGGGAUUGGAGCUUUAGUAUGGGGAUUGAAAAUGAAAAAAAAAGAAAGAAAAGAAGAAGGGUGGUGAGUUUGAGUGGUGAGUGAUGGGAUAAAUGCACAGCAGGGGAAACUCCACGUGAAAACCCCCCAUCAGAUUUUCUCUCUCUCUCCCACGUGGAUUUUGUUAUACUUUAUUUGUAUUUAAUGCCACGUCACUACCAAUAAGAUCUUUCCACAUGCUUCGAAAUUUCCAUUUCUCAAAAAAAAAAGAGAAAAAUAUUUUCUCAAAAUUAGGGAUGAUCACAAAUAAUUUGACCUUGCCAUAAUUAAAAAUAAAAUUUUAAUAUUGUAGAAAGAUCGUUAUGGUUUGUAUGAUGCUACGCUCGAUGAAAUACAUCGGGUGAUUAUUAGACGUUGAUUUGUUUAGUGGGAAGCUAUUUCACCAGAUCAAUGGUUAAUAAUUAUCCGAUAUAUUUCACCAGAUGUAGCAUCUCAAAGACCGAUAAUCAGCUUGAGACGUGAUUUGAACAAUAUGUAAUGCCGACACGAAAAUGGCGAUACAGGAAAAUGACAAAUUUGGGAAACGUUUUAUAUUCAACAUAAAUAUUAUUAUCAAUUAUAAGUUUGCAGUUGAUAGUUAAAUUAUGUAAAUAGUUAGGGAAACGACAACAAUAAUUCAAAUUUCGAUAUUUAAAUAUGUUUCUAACUUUUCAGAAAUUGUAAAAUGACUCAUAAGAUGUCGGACAUGUGCCCUUGAGUGUCGAACGUGAAACAUGUCCGAAACGCAAAUACGUUACGAAGUUGAAGUUUUCGUACUGCAUAGUUUGAUACAAUGAGAGAUAAUUACCAAAACCCCAAAUUAAAAAAAAAUAUCAACCAAAAUCAAAUAUUUUUUUUCUUUUUGGAGAGUGGCCAAUUACGAGACGUUCAUUAUAGGCUAUUAGCCCAAUUAAAUAAAUGUGAAUUAUUGGGCUAUAUAUAUAUAUGUAUAUAGCCCAUAAAAUUUGGAUUAAGGUAACAUUGCAGGUUUGAAAUCGGAGCCCAAAAAAAAAAAAAAUCGGAGCCCAAUAAAAAAAAAAAAAAUCGGAGCCAGUUCUUUUUGGUUAGGAAUGGAAGUAAUUAUCAUUAAUUUAUCAGUUAUCACCACUAGCAAUUAUCUUAGUUCCUUAAUCAUUAGUUUGCUUUUCGGAUAAAUCCCAAUCAAGAGCAUACUUACAUUUUUUAUUAUUACAUAAAGAAAUACAAACAAGAAGUAAUAAUUCAGACAAUAAAAUUCCCAGCAACUUCCUUAAAAUCUGGCAUCAAAAGCAAUAUGCGAGCACUAAUUUCGUUUAAUAUAUCUACUCAAUGAAUCCACUUCUUACAGUGUAAAGUUGAACACCCACGUUUUCAAUGUUUAUUGCAUUGUAGCCAUCAGAAAAAGAAAAAAAAAUUAUAUUACACCACAAGAUGCCAAGAAAAUCAUGUGACACCUAAAAAAAGAUAUUCCUACCUGUUCUAAGAGGACCAUCACCAUUACGAGUGUUGGCACUUAAUUUUCAGCUAAUAUUCAAAACUAAUUAAUAGUGGCGUGCAAUAAUAAUUAAGAACCAGAUUUAUAUAAACAAACUCGAAAAUUAAGUAAUUAGAUACUAUUAUCUUUUUAUGUGUAACUGCUGAGAAUUGAGAAAAGGACUAUAAAUGAAUAGAAUUGACUCUUUCAAUCUUAUUCCAUAAAAGGUGAAGCAUAUCUAUCUAUCACAUUAAUAAUUUUCCUAAGUUAGUUAGUUCAUCAAAUCAAAUGCUCAAAUAGUUUAACGAUCUUUACCACGAAAUCCCACCUAUUAAUUCGGCAGCCAUUUAUGUGCCAGUUUGCAUUUUAAUGUCAUUGUAUAAUCCGGAUAAUGUGUAGCUCAACACCGAUGGCUAUUCAUAUGCUAAUGUUAUACUGGGUGGAUUUUUACCGUUAAUCUACAUAUACCAAUAUGAAUGUGUGCGUAUUUGUGUGUAUAUCAAUAGUAAAGAUCUAUUCAGUGUAUUUCACCCGAUGUGACAUUAUAUAGAGUAUAGGCCCUCAACUGAUAAACUACACCAUAAACUAUAUCUUACUAUAUUAGUAUCUAUAAAAUAUUAUUAUUAUUAUUAUUAUUAUUAUUAUUAUUAUUAUUAUUAUUAUUAUUAUUGAGAAUUUCGUUUAAAAUUGAAAACGAGACAUGGAAAAUAAGCUAACUUAGAUGGAUUAAUUGGGCUCACUAGACUGAAUAAACAAAGUCAAAAACUAUAGACAGGGCCUGAAAAAUUUGGCACGGUGGUUGUCGUGACCGUUUGGUCAGAUUUCGAGAAUUGCUUCGAAAACGUCGGGAACGAUAUAUAUAUAUAUAUAUAUAUAUAAAUUUUUUUUUUUUCUUUUUUUACAUUACAAAAUUUGGAAUGGAGUUAAAAAGCAUUUGCAAUGUAUUAUAAUAAUCAUUCAAUAAUCACAAUACAAGGUACAAUCCCGGGUAAUUGUUGGCAAGCAUAUACAAUUUUGAUAUGAAAAAAUAGAUAAUAGAAAAAACAAAAAUAAUUCACAAGUGUUAAUCCAGAGUUUCUAGAAGUGUAGGUAACUUUUACCGGAGUUGUUCACAUUGACAUUGACGAAAAACCCUACCAGGUCUUGCCUGUAGGGUAGAUACGAUUUCUUCCUAUCCCCUUCCUUCACCGCUCUGUUCCGUACAUACAGCGCUUCGUGCGCCGAUAGCGAUCCCCCCGUCCUCACGGCGGCGGAUCCGCCGCCGCCGCCACCUACCUUCGCCUUCGCUUUUUUCGGAAUUUCCGGAGAUAAUUUUUCCUCCCGAUUUUUCGGUGUCAAAAAGACGAAACUGUCCUUUCCUUCACUAUUGCUCCGCCGCAGCAAAUCGCGAAACUUCCACCGCUUCGACGCAGAUCCGGUGGAUUUGCUCUUCUUACAAUGGCUUGGAGACGGCUGCUCGGCAGCUUUCGGCCGCCAAACGCAGUACGUACCGGCCGGAACACUCUCCAAUUCGUCGGCUUCCGACGACGAGCACGACUGAGGAUCAUCACCGUCGCGAUCCUCAAUAAAAAGCUUACCCAGCGGAACGGCGAUUCUCGAUUCCAAUCGGCUAUUUCCGCCGUCGUUGUACCGCAGAAGGUCACGGUUGAAUACCGGAAAAAUCGGUCCGAUUCGGCCGUCGCCGGCGAAAUCCUCGGCUGAAACCUCCUUACCCUCGCUUACCAAAGUGAACUCAAAAUCUUCGUCGUCGUAGCUGUGGUCUCCCUGUGCGGCGUCGUUUGUAUUCUCCUCCGCCGCCACUUCACCGGCGAUUUCCGCUAAUCUGUCUGAUGAAUAGCUGUUAAAGCUAGGGCACGCGUAUAUAUCUUCUUUGGUGUUUUCCAUUUUACAAAUUUCAUCCAUAAAUAGUUAUAUAUAUAUAUAUAUAUAUAUAUAUAGAUAUAGAUAUAUGUGUUUGUAUGUAUAUGCUGAGAGAGAAAAAAACAGAGGAAAGUAAGAGAGAGGUGAGGAAGGAGAUAAAGGGGUUUGUUAGAACUUAUAUACGCGGGGGCUCUGGAAUUUCCAAAGGAAAUUAGGAGGGAAUACCAAAUAAAAAAUUUAAUUGACAAAAGUACUUUUAGUUAAAAAAAUCUUAAUAUAUAUUAAAUAAUAAUCAAAUGUAAAUGUAGAUUUCGUCAAGAUAAAUCAGAACCUUCUCAAAAAAUUAAAAAAAUUAAUUAAUAAACUCAGAAAUAGACAUUUCCUAUUAGAUUUGUCUUCUUUGAAUUAAAUUAGCAUUUAAAUUAUUAAAAGGAAAUAUUCAAUGUACCAACUUCUCCUUGAAUAACUUUACUUUCACAUAGCUGUUACAAUUUCAUUGGUUUUUAUACGUCUGUUCACUUACCUAUUCAAGUGCAUUUAAUAUAUUCAUUUCUGUUAAAAUUAAUUAAAACAAAAUAAGUGGACGAAAAUAAAAUUAUGAAUAUCACUCAAUUAAAAUAAGGAGAACGACAUAUUGCAUGAUUCAACUACACGGAACAAAAUUAUAUAUCUAACUAAAUAUUUAAACUUAUUUAUUACAGUAUUAGUUAUUUCAUAUGAAAUCAUGAAUUAGCUAUUAACCCGGAUUAAAUUUUAUAUAACACAUUAUACUAACACGAUUUUUACUGAAAAUAAAUCAGAUUUUCUCAAAUUUGGUGGAAAAUAAAAUCAUUUUAAAUAAGUAAAAGAAAAGGAAGAGAUCUGGAAGCAUGGGAGAUACAGUAAUGGUUGAUGGCUAGGUCAAACGACUGAAGCGGUUAGUUUACACGUGGAUUUCUAGAAGGAGAUCUUAAAAUGCUAUUAGGCGCCCAACUCCUAGUCUAUGCCACGUGGAUAAUCCCCUCGACGAUGACCGGACAAGUUCUAUACACAUAGGCCCGUUUCGUUGGCAAGAUAAGAUUAGUCAAUAUAAGAUUAAAUAAUCUAAUAAAACCCAAUUAUUUUAUUGAAACUUGAAACGUCCAAUAAAGAAAUGGUUAACUGCAAAAAAUCUCCUAAACUUUGGACGUUUUUUCACUUUACCCCAUAAGCAGAAAAAAAAUGCACGAGCAUACCUGGACUCUAGUAUUUGUGGCACCGACAUCAAAAUCGUCCAAUUUUAGCUAAAUUGUUCCCUAAAUUGCACACGUGCAACUCACACGUGAAAAUGGAGGGGUAAUUUUGUCAAUUCAAAGAUUUUUAGAAAAAAGGAAAAAUGAAAAAGAAAAAGACCAUGUAAAUGCUAUGAAAGCUACAAAAGACGCCGAUAAAAAGUUGGCAAAUUAACUAACACUAUUGAUGUGAGGGUUUGUUAGAAACUUAGAAUAGCUUAGUUUGGUUUACAUCUCUCGAAUAGUUUGCAAGCUAUUAAACGAAAAAUAUAGAUUUACUCAGUACUUCUAUAUGAUUGGCUGAUACUGAUUCCUUCAUUAGAAAGAAAAAAAAAAUUACUACAUGACGAAAGGACUAGGAGUAUCAACAUCUUGCAAACAAAAAGCCUAAGGUUGGGGGACAAUAACCACGAUCAGGUAUAUAUGACAGGCAACGCAAUUAAAUAAAAUAAAAUAAAAUAAAAAUAACACUAAGGUACUUAAAUUAUUAAUUCAAUAAAGAAAAAGGAGCAUUCUGUCGGGAACUCACCGAACUUGAAGGACAGUGACUCAAGAGCCAGCCGGCAAUAAAAUAAUGAAAAAAGAAUCUUUAUUUUCGUUUUAUUUGUUCAUUUUCCCACAAUUUCACUAACGUGUAUGUAACAAUAAGUAUAACUAACAUAAAUAAAAACUCAUAUUUUUAAAUUAGUACAAUAAAAUUGUACGCGCUAGACAAUAAUAGUUCAUGUUAUGCACUGCACCAUUUUGAUUAUUCAUCUAUGUAGAACACAUGAAAAAUAUAUAUAAUCACCAGCCAAUUAGUCAACACUUCAUUUUUAUUUCUUCUUUACCUAAUCAUUAUGCAGGGAACAAGUAGUUUCUUCAUAAUAAAUAAACACAAAAGACUUUGUAGAGUACUUACAACAUAAGCAAGAUCUUAUAUAUAUAUAUAUAUAUAUAUAUAUCAAAGGUGACAGAGUCCAUUGUGUUUGACGAAGCAAGAAAAAUCAUAAACAAAAGAAACUUAUGAUUCCUAGCUCAUCUAUAACAAGUAUACAUUUUCAUAUCUUGAAGAUGAUGACACUAUAACCUUAUAUACAGACAAACAUGUCAUAUUAUCAGUAAAAUGCAUGGACUCAACAUCACAUUAAACAAUCCGCUAAAUUUCUCAAGAGUCAACAUACGAAUAUAUAUACUAUUUACUUAGUAAUGAAUCUUCCUCUAUCAACUUACCUGUUUUCUUGGACAAGUCUCUAGAAGUUUCCAACUCCGAGCUCGAAAGACGUCGUCUUUGAAUGACGUCAUGGAUCAUAGGAUUGAACUCGGUCUGAAAAGCCCUGUACAGAAAGUACGGUAAUAGAGAGGAUAAUACGACAACAAGUGUUCCCAGCCAAUAGAAAGGACUCGGUGCACAGGCUUCGACGAGGACCUGAUAAGCCGUUGUGGAUGUUGUAGGCGAGAUUGCUCCGUAGAUAACUAAAAAAGCGUACCAGAAUGCAAUGCUGCCCCAUAUGAAGAAGUGUUGGAUCCAAGUGAAGUAGUUGAUUGAAACUGCCAUCUGGCAGUUAACUGUCCAAAUAAUGCAAGUGUACAUCAUAACUCCGAGCACUUCGAAGUCAACGACCUGGCCGUCUUUACGGAAGGAUUGGUGCAGGACGGAGUUGGUUGUGAAAAAGAAAAUGAUCAUUGAACUAAUUACGCCGUUUAGCAUCCAGCCAAUAAUGCGUGGCCAGCUGAAGAGAACGUCUUGAACUCCCUCUUGAUAUAACAUGGGAUACUGUUAAAAAAAAAAAGUGUGCAAAUUGGAAUCAUUUUCGUUCCUAAUUAAUUCUGCAUAGAUCAGAUAUAGAAGACCCAGGCCUCGUUUGGUUGGUAAUAUAAGUCAUGAUCAAUUAAAUAAUUAGUUCUUAUUUGAUGUUAGGUUGUGCAAUAACUUUUCAAGCUUAUUGGGGGUCAGCUUCCCUAGUUCAAUUAUACAAUUGGGUUUUCAUAAGAUUGCAUAGUCAUAUUUUGGGAACCAAACGAGGCCUUGUAGUAUGGAAAUGUUAUUAUUUUUAUUUUUACCUUCAAGCAAAAUCGUGCAGAAACGUCUUGAUCAAAGACACCAAGAGCAAUGACGGGGAGUGAAGUAAAGAAAACGUUGUAGAAUGACAUGUACCAAUCGUUGUAAGCUGGUUGACCAGAGAAGGAAGCAUGAGCCUCGAACCAGAAUAGAGUGAACCCAAAUGCAAUGUUCUUGUAAAAGAAAUAACAUAUCUGCAGUGACAGCAUGAGAAGAGACACCAAAACCAUGAGUUGGUAUAGAUUGAUUAAGUUUAAGUGCUUAACUCUUAUAUCUUCACCUAGAUUUUGACACAAUUGGAUUUAAAAUACAAAUUUCUGCAUUAGAAAAAAAAAUUCAAUACCAUCAUGGAUAUUCGUCUGUAGCACCAAUGGCCAUGAACCAACAAAAGUCGUUCGAGGAACCGGAACUGAGCUAUCGAAAAGUCACUUGACAUUGCAGCCUAAAUUUGAAAUACCCAGAAAAUACAAUAUUGGGAAACAGUAAGCUAUAGAAAAGUUAAAAUGUGAUAUUGCAUGACAAACUAGCGUCUAAUAGUUCAUAUAAGAGAGAAAAUAAAAGAAGGUAAAUAUUGACAUAAAACAGAGUAUUGAGAUUACCUGCAUACCUUCAACGCCGCUGAUGCCAACCCCAAUAUCAGCUUCUUGAAGCAUGCCUACAUCAUUCGCCCCGUCACCAAUUGCUAGUGUCGUCCUUCCCCUACCCUUUUUAACCAAUCUUGUAACCUGAAUAUCUUCAACAGUGCCACCCCAUUAUUUUGCUUCCAAUAAUUCUUCAAUUCCAUAAGAAUAAAGGAAAAUAUAUGGAAUGUAUAAUAUAUAUCCAUAAUGUGUGGGGGGUGUGUGUUUAAAGGAAGUGUAAUGAUAACACGUACAAGAGCUUUCUGUUUAGGUGUGGAGCGGCAGCAUAUAACAGAUGCACAAUUAAUUGCAAGAUCCAGAAAUGAAUCUUCCUGAUUCUUGCUCAGAGCGUAAGAUAGUGACUUGCCAUCAAUUAUUAAACCAAAGGAAAUGGAAUUCCCUUCACAUGAGCUCAGUUGCAAUUUUCCUUCUCUGAUUUGAUUUGCAAUGCUUGCACUCGAAGCCUAAUAUGGCCAGACCCAUUAAGAAAAUGUAAUUUUAUAAUUGAGAGUUUUGGAGAUAUAAGACCUGUACCUUCGCAACAGCCUUCUUUUCUCCUCGUUUUUCUAGGUCGUUAAUUUCUGGAGAGUCUAAAGUGAUCACAAUUUUCUUCAUAUCAUCUCUCAAUAAGCUACAAGCAUACCUACAGAAAACAUAGUACUACAUGAUCGCAUGAUAGUACUAAAACGAAACAGCAAAUUUAAAAAGUGAACAAGUUAGUUACUCUUACCCGAUAUUUAUUGCUGUUUCCAUCUUAUCGCCUGUUAUAACCCAAAUUUUAAUUCCAGCAUUUUCAAGCUUGUUAAUACAUUCAGGGACCUGUAAAGCACAUAAAAGAAACCAUCAAGAAUGGAUUCCAUUUAAAUUCCAAAUGUAAAAUGCAAGUUCGAGAUUGACCCCUUUUUGCAGUUUGUCUUCAACAGCUGUAGCACCAAGUAGGAUCAAGUCCUUUUCAAUUUUAUCAGCAGCUGCCUCAACCAAUGCAUCUCUAUCAGCACUAACUGAUGUCUGUGCCUUCAUAAACUCCUCUUCCCAUGACCUAAACUCUUCUUUACUGAUCCCGCGAUAUGCGACUACUAAAGUUCGUAAACCUGCUUCAGAAUAUCUUUUGAUAUGGUCCAUUGUUAUAGCCUCAAAAUCUUGUGCAUCGUUUGAGAGCCUUUCGAACAUUACACUGCAUGACAAUACAGAAAAUACAACCAAAUAAAGUAAGCAAAGACUCGUGUUGAUGUCUUAAUUAAAGCAAGACUAAAAGAGACUUCCAUCAGAUCAGUAUUUUAGAGAGAGAAACCUGUCCGCGCCCUUGCACAGGAGCAACAACUGGUUUUCAUCAUUCUCUACAAUCACAGACAUUCUUUUUCGAGCACUACUGAACUCCAAGACAUGAAGAAGCGUAAAUGAUCUGGAGAAAGUGACAUCUCAUCAGUGGCUGAGCAAGCAUUUGUCUUUGUGUUUGUGACGGCCAAAUAUGCAAUAAUUUGUGUGUGUGUGCGUGGGUGUGUUUGAGAGGGAGGAAAAUACCACAUUACUAAAAAAUGAAAAAUCUCUGUAUAACUAUUAGGUUUUUGAGAAGCCGUGUGUGAGGCCAUGGUACCCCGUAAACUUAUGCAUCUCAUACUUGUUACAAUUCAUAGGUGACUUAUACUAGAAUUGGGGCACUUGCAAAUACAAACAAUCUCAUUCUUAUAAAUGCAAUACCAUUUAUAAAUAUUUCUAUUAGUCAGAACUGCUAAUCAUAACUCCAAGUUCCAAGAAAAGACGACAAAGAAUAUCCAGAAGAAAUAUGUAAAUGAAGAUUCAAAGAGACUGCACCUGUCAAUUUUUCUGCCACUCGUAUGAUCUAUUUCAUGCAAAGAGAUGCUAGUUUGUGUUCGUUUAAAGAACUCAAAUCCAAGCUCCCUGGCAGCAAUGACAAACGCAGCUUCAUCUGGUGACUCAGCUUCGUAUGCAAUUUCACCUGUUUCUUGAUUGACCUCUGGAAUGGCUGUAUGGCAAAGUGCCAACACUCUAAAGAAAUUCUGAAUUGUAUCUGCAUUAGGCUCAUUUACCCAUUGACCAUUCAUAAUUCGGUCAUCGUUGAAGUUGAAACCUUUUAUCGAUUUUCCCUGUAAAUCAGCUGAUGUAUUUCCAUCAUCAUGGGCUACAACAUCCCCUUUUCUCUUUGCAAGUGCUCUCUCCACUUCUGUCAUACCACGACCAUAAGCUACACCAGCUACUGAGCAUUUGACAAAAUCCAUGGAGUUACAUGUCAAAGUACCAGUUUUAUCAGAUAAAAUAGUAUCAACUUGACCAAGUUCCUCGUUCAGAUUCGAAGUCCUUGCAUGAGCUGGCCUAUCUGUUUCCUCAUAAUACAUAUCUGGAUCUUGAUUUAUGAAUACGCUUUGUAAAACUUUCACUAGCUCAAUAGAUACAUAAAGGGAUAUAGGAAUCAGAUAUCCAUACAACAAAAGCCCGGUCAAGAAAUGAAACAAUGCUGCCAAUGCUGAUCUAUCUGGGUCGUAAAAGACAGUUGUACGGUCUGGUCGGAGAUACCACCUCUUUACAUUUCUAUCACGGUCUAUAUCUUUCUCGGUAUUGAUUCCAAAGAAGAAAGAUCCAAUAAAAGAUACAGAAAUCAACACACUAAAGAGAAUAUAUAUUAUUUUAUCCAUUUUUCUCUCAAUCUUGCUCCUCUUAGAAGGAGGAUCUGUAGCAUUCUGCAUAACUUUAGUCUCGUGACCAGUAAAAACAACCACGCCAUAGACAUGCUCGGUAUUUCUUAACUUGGAAUCUCGUAGGAGAAGCUGUUGCAGAGAAAUGGGAUACUGUUGACCAUCAUAGUACAGAGUUCCAACAAAAGUAUAAAGGUCGUCGUUUGGGUCUUCGCACUUGAUAACUGCCUUAAAUUGCUGAAAGGAAUUAUCCUCGUGAAGGGAAGAUGUAAAAUCUAAAGCAUGCUUCACCUUUAGAUUAGUCUCUCCAUCUAGAUUUGUUGUUUCAACAUAACAAAUGCCAUCAUCAUAGCUCGAUGAGAGAAGCAGAAGAUCUGCAGGAAAAUAUUCGUCCUUAUGAACUUUUACAAGAUCGCCGACCCUUAACUUUUUCCAUCUCGUAUCUUGAAAUUUAUGAUUUCUAUCAUAAACUUUAACCUUGCGAUUAUUGGCCUCUACAUCCUGAAAAAGAAUUUAUGAAGUCAGAAUUUAUUAUACGGAUUAAGUUAAAACUACAAAAUUGGAAGAAGAACAGAAGAAAAUGAGACAAACUCAAGAACUGAAACAACUUAUCUAGCAACCACUCUUGUGGCAGUUUUUCCUGGAAAACAGAAAUCAAAGAUAGAAAGAUUCCAGUUCUAAAGAAUAUGCACGAUGCACUGUUAAAUGGAUCGCCAAUAACAUUACCUUCUUAUGUGUGCCUAUGAACGAAGAACUGGGCAAGUGCACUUAACAUUAUAAUUCAAAAUCAUUAAGGACCUUUUUCAUAUAUAAAUAGGCAUACGAAAAUUGUGGGGAGGCAAUAGCCUCUGAAAUUAUAUACUGCUAAGUGAAGAUAACAAGCAUACUUCCCCUUUAACCAAAGGUUCAAUAUGACCAAUUAUGUUUCUUAAUUUGAGGCUACUUUCAUAUCCGGGAAUUCUAUCAUUUUCCUUUUUUUCUAUAAUUCCCCUUUAACCAAAGGUUCAACAUGACCAACUAUGUUUCUUAAUUAGAGGCUAAUUUCAUAUUCGGGAAUUCCAAAUGAGGAAUAAAAGGAUCAUAAAGAAACAGAAAGAAGCAAAAAAAAAUGUAACCAGAUAAUUAAAAGAAGCAAUUAAAGAUAAACCUGCUUCAUACGCCUCCAAUCUUCGAGCGCUUCCUUAGCCAUCGUAGCUCCAAUCACCAGAAAUAAAGGCCCGAGAAUACUAGAGGCGGAAUAUGGUGCGAGCGGACUAAACGAUACACAAGCUACCACAAGGAAAUAGAUAUUUGCAACUCUCCUAAAUUGCUCAAACAACGAUUUAGGGAAGAAAUUAAGUGCAUUGUACUUGGUAGUCGAGACAUAAUUACGCCGGUACCUAAGCGCAAUCUGCUCCGCACUAUCAGGAUCAUUACAGUAAACAACCCUCGAAUAACCCUUCUGCCCAAUUUGACUAUGUUCAUCUCUAGACGAAGACCUAAAACACGAAAACGAAUACAGCCUACUGAAACGAAUUUCUUUUUUCCUACGACCAGUCAUUUUUCCCUUUAAUCACAAUUCACAAAUGCUUCAAUGAACUAAAGCAUCACCUCUUCAAUCAAUCAACACAACAAACAGAGCAAUUAAUCUACAUUAACCACAGUAAUUAACAGAUAAUCACAACACUAAUAAUCCGUAACAAUCACUUGCAAAAUGCAGUAAAUUAAAUCAUCUGAUCCGAAAGGGGGAAAUUGUUUACUCAAAAAAUUAAACUAAACUGAGCUGUAACGAAAACCUCACGGAGCCCUAAAACUCAAGUUUCUUCCGCCGGAGAAAUUCUUUACUUCGGUAGCAAGUUCCAGAGAUUUCUUCCUUCAGCCAUUGCCUUCCAGGCACGAGCUCUCACAUACAUACACACAUACAACUGUGUGUGUGUGUGCAUACACGUUACAGUAGGUGAGAGAGAAAUAUAUUAGAGCUUUUUGUUUUUUUGGUUUGUUGCGAGUAAUGUAGAGAGAGAAAAGGUGGGAGUUUGGAGUGGUUGUUCAGCUACUUUGUAACUUCGUAUGACUAUUUUUUUUCGUUUAUCCGUUUUCAAAUAUGAAAGCAACAACGGGAGAGGGAACAGUGUUCAAUUUGUUUCCUUUAUUUAAUUAAUGUUAUCAAUUCAUUUCCCGUGAUGACUUUUCAAUUUUGCUCAUCUCCAAUUUUUUUUUUUUUGGCUCCUACCCGCCAUUUUAUUAAUAUUAUAUUAUAUAUCAAUUCAGCUAAAUUAUUUAAAAAGUUGAUAUCGACUGGACUAAUUGACCCAUCACCUAUUUAAGCUGAUGUGAGUAUGAGUAGGUAUGUAAAUUACGAAAACGAAAUUUCCUGUUUGGCUAAUUAUAAUUUCAUUCGGCUAUGAAUUUUCUUGCACGUCUAUCAUUAUGGAAUAUUCUCCAGCAUAUACUUGUUUUAUUCAUUCAAGUCCCACAUUUUGAAACAAAAUGAUUGUAAGAUGUGUUGUUUGGUUUGUAAAUAUCAGAUUGUGAUGCAUCAGAAACUGCAUUUUUGCACAAAACAAAUACACUAGAUAACAUUUCACGAAACCCUGAAAUUAUGAAUUUAACAUCAUAAAGAUAAAUGCGUAAAAAGAUUCAUAAUUGAAUAUAAUUGUAAUUAUCUAAAUAAGAUGAUUUUUUCGUGUGUGUCCGUAUUAUAAUCAUACAAAGAGAACUAAAGUUUACAUGUAAUCAAAAUUAUACAUAAUGAUCUCCAAAUUUGAAUAACCAACCUAAAAUUUUAGUUGUUUGUAAAUUUUGGCGGUGCAUGAGACACAUAAAAGAUGAGCACGCUACAGAGUCACACGCGUGAGUUUCUUACACGUGCGAGAACAGAGGUGGCAGAUAGAGAGGGCUGGGUGAGCUGUUGGGCCUACUAAUGUAAAUUAGUUUACUUAACACAAUAACGACCACGUGCUAAAUGGGCCCAAUCUAGUGUUAUCAUUAGGCAUUUGGGCUCACUGCAAACAAUAAAAAUACCGCAACUACAUCCUUCAAUCAUUGCAAUCACUAAAGUAGAACUAUUAUAUGUUUUUCUCUUUAUUUCUCCUUUUUCUUUUUCUUAAAUUAAAUAUAUAAUUUUAUUUUUUCUUUUUGUAUAUGUGUGUUUGUCACCGUGUGGGUGCAUCACGUGUUAAUGGAGACUUCGACUUUGAAGUGGGAAGAAUGGGCAUCAACUUGUUCAAGGAUAACAUAAGAAAUGUGAUGAUUACAAAGUUAUAUACAUAAUGCAGCCCAUAUAUAUUCAAUUUGUGAAUUUUUCAAGUUGAAGUUGAACUUAUCAAACAUAAUUAUUAGCCUAUUAUAAUUUUUAUUUUUCAUACGGUUUGUGAGUUAUUGCAUAAUUGCAAAUUUAUCUCAGGUUGCGGAUCGAAGUUAUCUAAUAGUGUAGCAUUGUAGGUGAAGGAUUUUGGGUUCAAGUUGAACUAAUCAAGAAUUCAGCUCACUAAUUUAUAUCUACUUGAGGCGGCCCAACCGAGAAGGCCCAAAUAGCACAAAGUCAACUCGGUGAUUUAUGAUCUUUUGAUUUUGACCGUAUACUUUCAACUAUUUCAUAUAUACAACUUUCAUUCGAGAUAUUUCAACUUCGCCUCUUUUCAAACCAUAAAAAUCUGAUCUUCUUCUCUCUCUCUUAGUUCGCCGUACCACCACAUGAAUUCUCAUUGGCAUCUUCCGGCGACACACCCGUUAGACUACUACGAUGGCUCUACUACUUCUGCUAUCUACUUUGGUGACACAAUCUUACUUUUCAAUCGAUAUAGUAAACGAUUCAUUGAGAGAGAAACAUAUACAAAUUUGAAUCUCUUCCGAGUUCUAUUUUAGUUCUUAAGCCACUUUUGAAUGUGGAAAACAGAAGAGAGUAAGUUCAAAUUUGGUAAGAUGCUGCAGUAUCUUUCUUUUAACUAUUGUCUUGAGGCAUCUAUUUGUUUUGUAAUUGUUAUUACAACAUUACUAAGUUUGGUUAAGUAAACUAGGCCCGUUAGGUUGAUAAAAAAGGCAGGCCCAAUAGAUGGCCAAGACAAUAGUUCAAAGAAAUAAAUAAUAAAAAAAAAUUGGCAAAAAGCCAUUGAAUUCUAGGGGUGGGUUCGGUACGGUUGCCAAACAUUUGGCUCAAUACCGUGUACCUACCGUACAUUGCGGUAUUGAAAAAUUUCAUACCGUUACCAUACCAAAAAGUUCGGUAUACCAAUGUUCGGCAUACCGUUAUUUUCGGUACGGUACAAUCGGUACGUGGUACUCUACCGUACUUGGUGAUGCAUCAAAGAUUAAAGAACAAAUGAGUUAAAAAUAUACAUAUAUAUCCCAAUUGAAAAUAGUUCUAGUUACUCUUGUAUGAGUUGUAUUUUAUUUUCUAAGAAGGUCCGGUGUAUAAUCGGAAUAAUUAACAUAAUUUGCUUCAUUGAAACAAGAACAUAUACCAUAAUAAUGUAAAUGUUGUUUAAUGGAACAACUAGGUAUUUAUUAGGAACUUGAUUGUACUUAAUAAUUAUUACAUACAAUAAAUAGUUUACCAAUGCUAUACAUACAUGUAGGCAAAAAAAUAAAAUAUUCAUACAUCAUAUAUAAUAAAAUUAGUUGGCUAUAGGGAACAUAAAAGACAAUUUAGUAGAACAUAUAUGUUCAAUUGCAAAAUUCAACUAGUAGAAAAAAAAAAAGAAAAAAAAACAAUACACUACCGCUAACUUAAGGGAAAAAUAAUUGUUGCCAUUUAUAAGAUUCUAAGUAAACAAAAUAGAAUUACAAAAAAUAAUAUCGAAAAAAACAUAUUAAUCGGAUUAAAAUGUAAAUUGCGGUACGGUACGGUAUUACCGUGGUAUUAGAAAUACAAUACCAAUACCGUACCAUAUUGUAAUGGUACGAUACUAAUACCGUACCGUAGACAAUGAUAACCGUUCUUUCGGUAAUUUUUCGGUAAUCCUUGGUUGGUAUACCAUGGUAUAUGGUAAUCGAUAUUUUUUUUCCAGCCCUAUUGAAUUCUAUCAAGAAAUAUAAUUGAUUAAUUUUUAGAAAUAAUUCAAAACUAUAUUAUUUCAAGCAUACUUACUUAUCAAUAGAUUUGAUAAUGAAUUAUGAAUAUGAUCCUUACAAAAUAUUAUAAUAACAGGAGUUAUGUAAAGAUCUAUAGUUAUUAUAUUAUUAAAAUUAAUAGAAGAUGUGCCACCAAACCAACAAUAUUUAACAAACAAUUAAAUAUCAUAUAUAAUUAAGUCUACCACCACCAAAGCCAAAUAUGUCAACUAUGUCAAAAUUAAUUCACAAUCAAAAUAACUAUUUCAAUUUUUAUUUUUUUCAAAACAUUUAUAACUAAUAAUAUUGAAUUGAUUCUAUAUUAUACCAAUCAAUUAAAAUAACAAAAAAAUUAUGAAAAUGCUGAAAUCACAUUGAUAGUUGACCAAUAAUUAGCCAAGUUCAUGUGAUUCAAUCAUGCCUAUCUGUCUCUCCCUAGUGCUCAAGUCGCCGGGUUUUAUCCACGGGUCAAAUCAACGAACCCGGUCCAUUUACCCGGACCCACCCGAAUGUGCUCCGCAGUUGUACAGUUGUACCCGCGACUUCUUUAUUACUCUCCUCUCAUUCAACUUUAUAAAUAUCUGGUCUGCCUAUUUCUAUGUUUAUCCCCCACAAAUAUCACCUCACAAAUUGCUUAUUUCUGAAAUAUCUAACCAUUUUUUAUUUUUUUAUUUUAUUUUAUUAAAUCUAAAAAUAUUUACCGUGUCAGCGUUAUUUAGAAAAAAGGAAAAAAAAGGAACAGCUGGAUUUUUUUUUAUUUUUUUACUAUAAAUACUAAAUAAUGAAUUACAGAAUACAGAGACGCAUGAUAAAAAAAUUCAAAUUGCUCGAGGGAGCUCACAUCUAAUGAUUCAAUUGACGUCGUCUAUGGCGAAAUAGUUGAAACGAAGAAGGAUUUAUCGCCAGCUGGAAACGACGACGUCAAAUCGCCCUGUGUUUUCUCUCUCUCCUUGAUUACUUGCCAUUUCAUAUCUCCUCAAGGAAUUCUCCGGCGCCGAAAACCUAGGUCCGUCGGCGUAAUAACUGAAUUAGGCGUGAAUUGAUUACGGUUUUGGUUUUCGUAGCCAUUUUUUGCUUGUGGUAGUUAGUUUUGCUGCGUUCUCCUCUGCUCCGCCGACUGCUGUUGGUUGAGACCAGCAAUUUGUUUUUUAAUUGGUCGCGAUGCCAACCUUAAUCCUAGAUUUUGCAUCAAUGAUAUUAGAAAAUAGAAAUCGUAUGAUUUGAAUUUUUCGGCUGUAUGAAAUUUCGUUUAGAGCAUUUCAUUUAUUUCGUUUUGAGUGAAUCUUCUGUUGGCAAAAGCAACUUUGUGAUAUUUGCUCGUUGUUUUAGUCGUUUUAACAAUAUUCAUUGUGCAUCAUUAGUUAAUUACUAUGCGUUGUGUUUCUGAAUAUGAAUCUGCUGUUGCUUUUGCAUCAAAAUGGCAUGGCUGUAUUAUUUGCAUAAGUUAUCUUUAGUUAAGAGUUAUUAUCUAUAAUACUGCAUCACCUUUUGUUGAACAGGCAAAUUUGAAAUUUUCUGGUGAAUUAUAUGGAGCACGGUUCUGAUUAACCUCACUUAUUGUUUACAGGACGGAUAACUAAUCACUUCCGUAAGUGUUGAAGCACAGUAUUCUACAGGCACUGCGGAAGGCUUGGUUUAGUUGUUGAGUUAUCUGUUCUAGUUGUUUUCUCAGAAAAUUCGUCAUUGGAGAUUGAUUUUUAGCUCUCUCGCAGAGAAAAUUACGUAGGGGUUAAAAUAUAUGUGCCUUGGAUCGCAACCACUUUUUUAGUCUUGUAGGUAGGGGAAAAUGUUAAAUUAUUGGCGCAAUCAUGACAUUGUCUGGAUUGCAGCCUCCUUUGUCUAUUGUCAGUUGAUUGUACUAGGAUAUCAAGGUGUAAAGGAGUUAGCAUCGUCAUAAAAAUCAUGGAACAAACGACAGAGAAGAAGUUUCCUCUCAAUGCUAAAGAUUACAAGUUAUACGAGGAAGUUGGAGAAGGUGUCAGUGCUACUGUUUACAGAGCUCUUUGUAUACCACUUGAUGUGAUAGUGGCAAUCAAGGUUCUUGAUCUUGAGAAGUGCAAUAAUGACUUGGUAUGUCAUCUUCUUCUGAAUGUGCUAAUCGAAUAGAAAAUGCCUCUUUUACAAACUUAUACUGGCUUAAAGUGACUAGCAAUUUAGAUAUUCAGCUCUCAUUAUACUAGCAAAUAAAAUUUAGAACAUAUGCAAAUGAGAUAUUUGGAAGGGGCACAACACUCUUGAUGAUCUGAAUAGUGUGUUUACUACUCUGUAUGGGCAUGGCUAAGGUGUCAAUAUUUGCAGGGAAGACUUACUCCCGUGUUAAUUUAAUAUAUUUAAAAUAUUCUUAAUAUUUUUUUCUUGUUCGGUUGUCAAAAAAAUAGGAUGGCAUCCGGCGGGAGGUACAAACAUUACUUUUGAUUGACCAUCCAAAUGUCUUGCGAGCUCACUGCUCCUUCACUACUGAACAUAAUCUAUGGGUUGUGACACCGUACAUGGAUGGUGGAUCUUGCCUUCAUAUAAUAAAAUCAGAUUAUCCAGAUGGUUUUGAGGAGCCUGUUAUUGCUACAAUAUUGCAUGAGGUUCUCAAAGCUCUGGUGUAUCUCCAUGCCCACGGACAUAUUCACAGAGACGUGAAGGUAUAUAGAUUUUUCACUUUAUUUUCUUAAUGUUAUCCAUUUUCUUGAGUUGAGACCUUAUUCUCGCGUAGAUUGGUAAUCUGGCACUUUGGGCAUCUUAUUUUGUUCAAAUGAUUAUUACUCGUAUCUCUCAUGUGGUAUAUGGUUGAUGUGCUUUUGUCCCUCAAUCGAUUGUUUCUGCCCAUGCUGCUUUAACUUUGGAGACAUAUCGCUUUAUUUAUUUCUCUCUCUUUGUUACAUAUGGCAGGCUGGAAACAUACUGAUUGAUUCUGAUGGUACUGUUAAAUUGGCAGACUUUGGAGUAGCUGCAUGCAUGUUUGAUACUGGUGAUCGUCAACGUUCUAGAAAUACCUUUGUCGGAACCCCAUGCUGGUAAUACAUAUUUCAUGAAGGCAAUUAUAUGGGUUUUUGGACGCUUAUAUUUUUAAACUCUACUACUGUCUUAACUUUGAACCUUUUUUGCUAUAAUUUGAAUAUUAUAUCAGGAUGGCCCCAGAAGUCAUGCAGCAACUGCAUGGAUAUGAUUUCAAGUGGGUAUCUGCUGAAGAAAUUGUAUUUCCUCUCUUUUUAAAAUUUUGUUGUCUCUCAAUUCUGAUGGAAAAUGUUUGGCUUUGACAGAGCAGAUAUCUGGUCAUUCGGAAUAACAGCACUUGAACUUGCUCAUGGUCAUGCACCGUUUUCCAAGUACCCACCUAUGAAGGUUGGUAAAAUCUCAUUUACUUAAAUCCUACUUUUGCAUUUUAAUGUGAAGGAAAUUGUUGGUCUGAACCUUCUUCCAUUAUGCUAAAUGUAGGUUCUGCUGAUGACCUUACAAAAUGCACCACCAGGGCUAGACUACGAAAGAGAUAAAAGAUUCUCUAAGGUAUAUCUUGUUUCGGGAGACUUUUAAUGCUGAAUCUUAUGGAUUGCUGCUAAAAUCUAAAAUUUUGCAGUCUUUCAAAGAAAUGGUUGCUGCUUGCUUGGUAAAGGACCCGAAGAAACGUCCCAGCUCCGAAAAGCUUUUGAAACACCCUUUCUUUAAACAUGCUCGAUCAGUUGACUAUUUGUCUCGUACUAUCCUUGAAAGCUUGUCUUCUCUAGGUGAACGUUUUAGGAUGCUUAAGGUCUCGUGCUCAUCUCAUUCUCGUGUUUGUUUGCCAUCUCUUCUACAGAAAUGCCACUGUGCUUCAUUACUUCAAUUUUGAGUUUUUUCAGAAUUUCUCUAAAACUAGCUUGCAUUUUUAGGCUAAAGAAGCAGAUCUUCUUGUACGAAAUAAAGCGUUGUACGAGGACAAGGAGCAUUUAUCACAGGUGAGAAGUCUACCAAGUUCGAUAUUACAUGCUUAUUUGGAAAGAGGAAUAUAGAGAAAAUAUUAUGUAUUAAAACUUUGUUUUACUACUGUCAUAAGGUAGUUGUGCAGACUUGGUUGCUUGAUUUUAAUUCUUAUUUUGAAAUUUGUUGAGCAUGUGUUGUGUUAAGUCCCUAAAUGUAACACCACAUAUACAUCACUUCUGCUUAUGGACUUCCAAGUCUAGGAGUCCAUUAUAAAUGGCAAUACAGUUGGGUUCAUUUUCCCCCCUUAAACUGAAGAAAAAAUGAUCAAAUAUGACUUGCCUGCAUAAAAUUUGAAAUUUUCUUCCAAAUGUUAUUUGCAUAUUGUGAAAAUCCUUAUCAUGAGCUGUUGAAAUGUGCAGCAAGAAUACAUUCGAGGAAUCAGUGCAUGGAACUUCAAUCUAGAGGAUCUGAAGAAUCAAGCUGCCCUUGUAUGCCAUUACUCACUGAUCAGUUGGUGAAUGUUUCAAUUUUAUAAAUGCCAUCAUUGUUAAGGUCUUUUUGUUCCCCGCAGAUUCAAGAUUAUCCCAUUUCAAAUUCAGAAGAAUCAAGUGUGAGUGGGAAGCACAUGAACGGGCAAGAUGAUGUUGGUUCUCCUGUGAAUAGGAUGUACUCUGAGCGGGUUAACCUUUCUAGUGUUGCAUCUAAGUUGGAGGUAUGAGUUAUAACAUGAGAUGUCGCAUGUUCUUCUGUCCUUACAUUAAAACAGUAUUGUGUAUUACAACCUUUAAAUACUUUAUAGCUUGUUUAUAAUUUGUUAUUCUCUGAGCUGUAUAAUUUAUCUCUUGUUUACUUAGGAUGAGCUCGAUGGUAUUGAUGAUUUGGAGAGUUCGCUUGCUGACUUUCCUAUAAAACCUCUUCAGGCUCUCAAGUAUGCCAUCAAAAUCUAUCUGACCUGUUAGCUUCUCCCUCGUUUUCCACCUUGAAUAAUGCUUGAGCUUCAUUUUUUUUUGUGUCAAUUUGCUUGCUAGCUGCAACUAUCUCCAUAUUUGGACUGCUUGAGAAAACAGUUUUCUCAAAUGAUGUCAAAAGAGACAAAAUGAAGUUAUAAGUAUUUUUAUUAGACUGAAAAUAUGCUUCUUUUUACUCUCUUCUAAGAACUGAAUUAUGAUUUACGUCUUGCUUCUCUACAUUUGAGUAGUGUCUCCUUAACGAUCUACUAAAUUCAUCAAGUUCCAAAUUGUAUAUCCAUCUUCAAGGUCGAACUCUUCUUUUGUGUGAAACCAACAAGCUAAUCCGAGAAGAACUUCUGAAUAAGUGGUUACCAAUUCUCAGCACUUCAAAUACAUAUAGAUUUCCACUUUAAGACAGAAUCAACCAUUCUUACAGCCUUGCUUUUAGUCGCCUUGACAAUAAUUUACAUUCUGCAAACCUUAGUUUUUUUAUCCCCUUGUGCAGAAAUAUGUUCUAGGUGAGAGUACCUACAUUUUGGCUCAAUAUACCAGGCACCAAACUUUGGCCUUCCUUUUCUUUUUAGUGACCCAGUUCACGUGAACUCAAAUAUUUAUGCUUAUGCUCAUAAAAAACACCAGGCUGCAUAUUGAAGGCAUUUAUUUGAAAUCAAAUGUAUUCAUAAUAUGUGCUGCAUGUAUGCCUCCCAUAGUUUUCUAUGUAUUCCCAGCCCACACACUGGCUUAUACAAGUCAGGUUUCUGUGAUGAUUAUGCAGCCACUGUGUGAGUUUAGAACUUUGGAAAUGCACCUGUGAGAGUUAACUUAUUGAAGACUUUUGUUGAACACAGAGGUUGUUUUGAUGUAUGUGAGGAUGAUAUUGGUAGCCCGAUUUCGAGAGAUUCUACUCAUUCAGAUACUGAACAACAAAGUGAACAACAGCCAUCAAGAAUUGCUAUGGAACGAGAAUCGGGAACAGAUGAGGAAUCUGGUCGAAUUGGCACCAUUCCAUACUUUGUCCCUGCAGAGCAGGAGAAAGUUUCCAGUGGCUUCAUGCUGCAGGAUAAUGUUCUCUCUGCUAAAAAGUUUAGUGGUGAUGUAGACAGGUAUAUUGACUAGUUUGCAGUAUUUACCUUUACUUUUUUGAUAGUAAAAGGCCAGGAGGGAACACCUUUGCCUCCUUAAAAUCCUAGCUACAGUUAAUUUGUGAGAGGCAGAUGUUUUAGUUAAUUUAGUCUCCCUUUUUAUUUUGUCCAGUUUUUAGAUAUCAAAGGGUUUAUUGGUAGUUUCUGUUCUAAGGUGUCUCGUAGAGGAUUCCUGCUUCCAAAAUUCAUUUUUAAACAUACUUAUGCAAAGAGAUUGCAGAAACUGUGGUAUUGGAAAAUUCCAAGUAUCGAAAAUUCAAUGUGCUUUAUUUUACUGAAGGUGAAAUAGGUGAUGGUGUGUAUACUGUAUGCAUUUGCUCCUUGUCUGAAUAGGUGAUGGUGUGUAUACUGUAUGCAUUUGCUCCUUGUCUGAAGAAUAGAGGAGUGUCUCCAUAGAGAUCGAAUGUCUGACGAAUUUAGUACUAUGCAAUAUGUUGGUUGAAGUAGUUACUAUGCCAUCCUACUCUACAAAUGUGGUUUACAAACAUUGGCAACAUGUUUAUUGGACACUUUUGCUAGCAGUAUGCAAUUUGUUGGACCAUCCUAGUAUAAAUGUGUUCUUUGCUAUAUAUUUUCUAUAGUAGUUCUUCAUUCCGCCUCCACCCUGUUUAAGAAAGUUGUUUGUAUUAAUUUGGUUCUAAAUUUGUAUGAAGGGAAUAUAUGCAACCAAGAUUCCAGACUGACCGAAGUUCUUCACUGCAGUAUCGGCAAAAGAAAGAUUUUAAUAAUUUUACAGCUGGUAAUGCAUUUAGAGUAAAAAUUGCAACAUUAUUGUCUCAUAUGAAUCAGCCUGUUCGUUUACAUAUGGUUAUGCACACUAAAUACAUUGCAACUUGCAUUUUAGGGGAUGAUACGUUUGAAGGUGCUGUUGUUGAACGCAGAGGACGUUUUAAAGUCACAUCAGCAGAUCUGAAUCCUAAGGUACUGAGGAAGUAUGAGUAUUAUACAUAGCAAACUUUACAUACAAAAUAUAUUUAUUAUAUAAUGAUUAAGUGGAGAUGUUUAUUCAUUCCGGUUGUUCAUAUGGAAGUAUUGUUGCUAGUUGAUUCAAAAUUCCAAACUGUGAAAUGUUCAUUUAUUUUACCCCUCGUUUGCAUACCAUUUAUGAUGCUCUAGGAAAAAGAAUAUUUUAUUUUUCAGACAAUGGCAUAGUAACCAUUGACUUCAUUUAUCUUAUUCAGGGUCCCGCGAACUACCUUAACUCAGCUUCGAGUAGUUCCGCAAGCCCAUCAACUCCAAGCCAUUCAGCUGCUUUAAUUCUCCCGAUAUUGCAAUGCAUAUUGCAGCAGAAUACUAUGCAAAGAGUAAGCUAUACUCAACUUGUCAAAUCUUAUUCAGCUACGUGGUACUAAUUGUGUCUAUACAUGUCUUGUCAGGAAGAGAUAAUUAAAUUGGUUAACUUUGUUGAACAAACCUCAGGUAAUUCUAUGUAUAAUUUCUCUUUGAAACCACGUAUGUAUAGCCUUUUGCCUCACAUCUUAAGAUGAUAAAUACUAAUUUUUCAUGGGUACAGGCAAUCCUGCUGAUUUGACCGAGUCAGGAAUAAAUAGCCUUUCACAGGUGAGAAUUGCCUUUAACCUUGCAGAAGUGUUCUUUUUUUCUUUUCCUUUUUUCCCUUUGAUUCAUACGAAGACCAUUGGUAAAACAUUCUGCUUGUUACGUAUUGCAGCUAAUCCCUAGUUCUGCAAAGGAGCGAGAGUUGCAAGCUCAUAUGAUUCAAAUGCAACAAAGGUAUGAAUCGAAACCCUUGUAUAGGCUGUGAGCUUGUUUUGAUGCGAUGUCCUAUUAUUGCUGAAGCAAGUUUUUAAAUUUCAGCAUCGGAAGCCUGGUUGAAGAAUUACAAAGACUCAAGACCAAGAAUACUCAGGUUUGUCUUCAGUUGUUGCCUCAAUAUCGAGACUAGUUCCAAAUCUCGUCAAUUUCUGCCUUGUCAUGUUUUUUUUCACAAUUCUCAUUUUUUUUUCUUCGUAUAUUAUAAUAACAUGGAGCAACCAAUUCUCAUGGCCUGGAGCUAAUUCAUUUAUAUUACAAUAACAUGAAAUGGUUUCCUCUUAUUGUUUGCAGUUGGAAAGGAAACUAAACGCAAUGCUCAAGAAAGACGACACUAUACCAGAAUAACCUAACAAGGGAAAAAAAAAGUUUGAUGCCCACGCAUAAUCAUUUUCUCUUACCUCAUAUUUUCUUGUAUUUUCCAUUUUUCUUUGUUUUUUGGUUGCUAGUUUUUCCUACGAUUUCUGGGAACUAGCUUUCGGGUGAUUUUAAUUUUGUGUGCCAUGUGGUGGUUGCAGUUUUAUGUAUAUAACAUGCUGUGUAUUUUAAUUUACUUUUAUUAUUGGAUAUAUAUAUAUAUAUAUAUAUAUAUAUAUAUAUAUAUAUAUAUAUAUAUAUGCAUUUUCUAAGCAUUUUCAUGAUUUUAAUUGGCAUUUCAAAUGGUUGAAUUGAAACUUUUGAUAGAACACACUCACACGCAAACAUGCACAACGGGCUCACAUGCUCCGUGAGGGAAACACACACUUCACUCACAGAUACGGAUCCACAUUCCCACCCCACCAUCGGGGGAUAGAUAAUCAGUGAUUUAAAAUCGCACGCCAAAAAAAAAAAAAAAAAGACGCAUGCACACAUACACCAACAUACAUGAAAUUCAAUGGUUGCAGACAGAUGCAACAACAAAUCCAUUCAAUUUAGAAUUCACGACGAAUAUUAAUAAGAGAACUGAAUAACUCGUACAAUCUCAUUAACAAGAACUAUAGUAAUUCUUCCAGAACACAAUUUAUAAAUACACACCAGAACACGCACACUUGAAGACAUAAAAACACACAACACUAGCACAUACGCAUCCACGGACACAAACACACAUGUAUAUAAUCAUGCACACACACUUGGCGAACUUACACACUUGCACACACUUAUAUGGACACACGCCACACUGUAACAAACAUACACACAAACAUAUACAAAUACACAUACAUGGACACACACACACACACACACCGACAAGUUUCUAGCAUGUGUUUUUUGUGUGUUUUCUAGUGUGUACGCACAUGUGUGAAUUUUUGUGUGUGUUCAGUGUGUGCUCAUGAGAAACUUAUAGUAAUGAAAAAAUGUAAAGGAUUUAUAGCUAAGGAAACGAGACUCUUGGCCAAUUUCCUCACAAAACUAAGGCAAAACCAUUGGACUCAACUUAACUAAAUGUUACUUCAACACAGUUUUCAGGAGAAAUAUAACGAAAGAUGCAAUACCAAAACCGCGUCCCAGUAAUUGCAUCUUCUUGCAAAAAACAAUGUUUACAUCUGACCACUUCUACAUGUUUAAUCUAUUAAUGAAGAAGGCAUGCUCUUAAUCAGAAAAGUUGCAAUGUCUUAUAAUCAUAUUAAGUUACCUCAACAAGUUUCUCAACUACAGCAGAAACUAUGCCCUUCAGCGUUCCCUACAAGAAGAAGAUAAAGAAAUGAACAAAAAAGAAACCCAAAAUAAUCGGUUACUUCGGUUGCCCCAAUUUUAUAUUUAAAUUAAAAAAAGAGUUGUAUACAAUUACCAAAGAAUGGUCUCUCAGUCCAAGAGACAACACUAAUGCCUUUGACGAUCCGGAGUUGCUGCAGACAUAACAGAAGCCAUUAAAGUGGCAGAAAGAUUAUGUGUUGAUAGAUCAAAACAUUUGAAAAGAAUGCAAUUACAAAAAUACCUAAUGUGUUCAAUUAAUUGCCGAGCACAAGCAACUAGCAUGGGCUGCACAUAGUUAUCUGGUAUAUCAGUUUUUUUAUCGAACACAAGCAUCAAAAUCCUCCAGUAACGAAAACGUAGAGUGAUAGAACAAAUUAUGAUGCUAGAAAUUACCUCAUCUCGUUUGCCAAAUACUACAGUAACACUGAAAGUUGAAUCAACCGAAACACUUUCCUCUUUCCUGACAAUAAACAAUAUGAUCACUAAGUUUCAUUCAUCGUACAAUGAUACCAUCAAACAACACUUCAAAUGCAAUAUUACACCUCUCAAACCCAUAUUCUCUGGCAAACCACCAUCCCGUAAAAUAAACUCAGAUUCAUACAUAGCAUCAGUUGUCACGUUUCUUAAAUUAGGUAUAAUUAAAAUGAUAAACAAUUCAUAUAGAUAGGAAAGAAAACUAAACAGAGUUCGCAUACAAAAGUUUGGCGUCUAGUGGAUAUGCACUCAAGAGAAUAACAAAUAGUAGGUAAUCGGUUUAGCCAAAAGCAUCUAAAAUCAGACAACAAUUAAGUAUAACAUCAACGAAUCUUAAUUUAGCACAGUUUUCAAGAUUUAUUUCACCCAAGAUCAUGAAUAAUGUAACCAUUUAGCUUUGUUGCUACAAUAUGUUAGUAAAAUUUUGGAUUAUACGAUUUCAAAAUGCUCAUAUCUCAGAGAUGUAACGAAAUCUGGAAAUGAAAUAACUCCAAAAAAUUCACCACAGCAUCUCAACAAUUACUAGCAAAACACGUUUUUCUCCUCGGCCGGAAAAAACAAGUAAUAUAAUAUAUUUGAAGUCUCAGUUCACUCACAAUCGAAGGCUUUUAAUAUCAGACGUAGUUAUUUAUACGAAACACAUAAUAUAAUCUGGAAAAUUAAAAAUACAUACAUACCUAGCUUGCAAUAUUGUCCCCAUAGCUCCAAUCUGAGUUGCAAUAACCUGAAAUAAACAGAAUUAAGAUCACUACCACAUGAAAACUGUGAAUAAAAAAAUAAUUUGUGUUAAGGGAAAAAAAAACAAAAAAUCUGACGAGAAAAUGAUCCUCGUAGCUGCUUAUGACUAUUUCCGUCUUGUGCCCCUGGAUUGAAAGUAAUAUAGCCAGUAAAAAUAUGCAACCAGAUAAACAAACUGAAACACAAUCAUUCAAACAAAAAUUGAAUUCAGCGCAAGGACUAUCGUUCUGCGUUUUUUUCUUCCUUGUUUUAAUCGAGAAAUACUCGACAAUUUCGCACAAAAAAAAGGCAGAGAACAUUUUUGAGCGUCGAAAUUAAAAUUAUCCAAAAAAAAGCAGCGAAAUUACGUUAAUUAGUGAAAAGCAAAAGCAGCGGAACUCGCCUUGAUAACAGAACUGAGCGCUGUGUGGCGCACGGGAAAAGCAGGAUCUGAUGCUUCCAUUUCCGUUUCGUUUCUCGAUUUUGAGGUUUUUGAUCUCCGAUUUUGCUCGAUUAAACCAACCCCAGGACUAAUGGUUGAUGACUGUAAUUUUGUUUUCUGAUUUAUUUUGAAACUAAACUCAGCACUUAUGUUUCGCUCCAAGCUAACUUCAUGGGCCUUCACUCAUUAUUGACAAUUGGGCCGGGCUAUUUUUCUUAUGUGGGCGGGCCGUUUUUAGUAAUUCAAAAUAAUAGGAUGGAUUUUCUUUUUCUUUUUUCAAUUAAUUCGAGAUUAUACCAAAAUAUUUGAGAAUAUGACGUGGCUCAUAUUGUUGCACAUGUAUGAAUUAUGAGGUAACCGAAACUGAAUGCAACGAAUGCAUAAUAAUUGGGGGUUCUCAUCUACCACCUUUUUUUUCCCAAAACGCACGCGCCUUGCACCAGCCGUUCAACGCUUGCGCCAAACCUUGCACUUGCCAUUUUGCUUAGCCGUUGACAAUUUGAGCCGCGCCAACAUUUUCUAUUUCAGCCAAGCCGCCGGAGUUUGAUGGUUACCUUGUUUGCAAAAUUAUAAUAGUCAAAGUUGUACAAGUUCACUUUUUUAAUCUGAUUAUCUUAAUCAUUAUUAUAUUUAUCCAAUGUAAAAAAAAUGUGCUAUCAACUACUUUGUGAAAGACCAUAUCAAUGAGAUUAGGUUAUAUUGUGCACUAUAUUAUAAACUAAGGAUUAAUUAUAAUUAUAAUCACAAUUGCAAGUCUCGUUUGGUAGUUAAGGUAAGAUUAAUCAAAAUAAGAUUAAAUAAUUUAAUAAAACUCGAUUAUAUAGUUGGAUCUCUCAUGAUUCAAUAAAAAAACAUGCUUAGAAGGUAAGAUAAACUAUGAUAACAUAAUAUUUGCGAGUCGAUCCAACAAGUUAUUAGAGAUAUUAAAUAUCAAACAAAGUCCAAUUAUUUUGUUAAUCAUGAUUAAUCUCUCCAACCAAAAGAGGCCUCAGGUGAUUCUAUUUGCGAGACAAUUAUAUUAAGUAACUUUGGACAUGAAUGAAAUAGAUACUAAUUACGUGGAUAAAUUAUAUAUUCAUAAUAAAUACGUAAGUUAAUUAAUUAAUUAAUUCAAGCUGAGCUGCUCACAAUAAAAGCGAAGCCCAGCCAAGCCAAGCCAAGCCGUUUUACCGGUUCGGUAUUCAUCAACAAGCGGAAAAGCAGAGACGCUUAUUACAUGAUGUCCGCAUAUUUUUCCAACGAAAACCUUGUCUCUCUUUAUAAUCUCUCUCUCUCUCUCUCUCUCUCUCUCUCUCUCUAUUAUAUAAUUUAUUUAUUUAAACACAGACAGCUGAAUAUAGUGGAAACAAAAUCAGCUAUCAAAAAAAGUACUUUUGCAAAAGCUCUAAUAAGUCAAGUAAAUAAGCUAAUUUAAGGAAAGUCACAAUAAUGGGGAUCGUCAGAUUCGAGGACACCCAGAAAGCGGAGCUCGAGGAGUUCCGGCGGAUGCUGCUAUCUUGCGCCGCGGUGCACCGGCGGAAGGACGACGACGGGAUCCGUGGCGGCGGGGAGAAUGCGCUUCCCAGCGGAAACGGCGACGUAUUGGACAGACUUGUUUGUGUCACCAGCGGCGUAUCUUACCUCGGAAUUGCUAUCGUGAACCAGCUCCUGGUCAACGGCUACUCCGUCCGAAUCAUCGUUGACAACCAAGGUUAUUCGAAUUAUAAUUUUGACUUUAAUUUGUUUUUCUUUACAAUUUUAAUUCGAAUUUUAUAUUUUAUGUAUUCAAUUGUCCAACUUGAGAUAGAAUUUUUCAACCACCACCUGCUUUUGUAGCUUGAAUAUUGAGGCAGGGCUUAUUUAUUUAUUUAAUUAAUUAAUUAAUCUAAUUUGUGUAGUGAUUUUUUUUUAAAUUUGUUCUGGGGUUUGAAAUUAACUGGCACUAAAUUAAUUGAAUUUGCAGAAGACGUAGAAAAGCUGAGAGAAAUGGAAAUAUCUGGUGAAAUGAGAUUAAGCAACAGCAUUGUAGAAAUAGUAAUGGCUAAACUCACUCAAGUUGAUAGCCUAACUCAAGCAUUUGAUGGCUGCCGUUGCGUUUUUCACACCGCCGCGUUCGUCGAUCCAGCCGGACUCUCCGGUUAUUCCGUGAGUAUAAUUUCGUAUUAUUAUUUAUUUCUGAAAAAUAAAUAGAUUAAAUACUUGCCAAACUCAACCUAACUUAACUAGUAGUUUCCCCUGUAAAUAAAUUAGUCUAUAUGGAGUUGGUUAAAAUUUUAAUCUCUCAUUAAUAGACAAGUUGCUACUUGAGUUAGGCCCUCAAGUAGUUAAUUAUUGACUUAUCUUAAUUAGUUAAUUAAACAAAUUCGUCGAGGUUGGUUUAAAGAUUGCUGUUGCAUCUAAAAAUUAGGCAUCUUUCACAAUUUAAAAGAAGGAAAAAAAAAACCGAUUAUUCAUGGCAUGCUUUAAUUUUAUUUAUAUGCUUUUGUAUGGCUUGAUCGUGUUAAUUUACUAUAAUACCACCAUAAAUUUACUUUUUAAAGAUGUAACUAGUGGACAACUUGACAAGAACGCCUAACUUCUGAAAAUGAUGUAAUUAGUUAGCACACGAAAUCGUCAUAGUAUAAGAACGCCAAAGUUUUGUGUGUCUCGAUCUAAUGUUGCUUUUGCUGAUUAAAGACAAAUUUACCCCUGUAACUUAUGCAACUUCGUUUAAUCUUGCUUUUGCUGAUUAAUUAAACUCAUUGGCAAAACAUAUAAUUUUUAUGUAGAAAGCAAUGGCAAAUAUUGAAGUGAACGCAAGCAAAAACGUCGUAAAGGCAUGUGGAGUUUCACCUUCCGUUAGACACUGUGUGCUCACCUCCUCUCUCUUGACAUGUAUUUGGCAAGAUAACUCUCUCGAUCAAGUUUCUCGUUUAAUUGACCACAAAAGCUGGAGUGAUGAAUCUGUCUGCAUAAAUAAAAAGGUAUACAUAAUUCAUAAUAAUAAUAAUAAAAAAUAAAAAAAUCAGGGUAAAAUUUGAGGUUAAUAUUUUGUUUCCCCGUAAAAAUCGACAGCUUUGGUAUGCGUUGGGAAAGCUAAGAGCAGAAAAGGCGGCAUGGGAAAUAGCCAAAGAAAGCGGAUUAAAUUUAUCGACAAUUUGUCCGGGGCUUAUUACGGGCUCGGAGUUCUUCCUUAAAAGCCCAACAUCUACAAUCGCUUACCUUAAAGGGGUGCAAGAAAUGUACGUAAACGGAAUAUUGGCAACCGUGGACAUAAACAGAUUAGCAAAGGCCCAUGUUAUUGUCUUUGAGGAGAUGAAGAAGGCAUCUUCCGGAAGGUACAUUUGCUUCGACCGAGUGAUAGAGAGACAAGACGAGAUCGAAAAGCUGGCCCGUGAUACUUCCAUAAGUGUGAGCUCUAUUAUUGCCGGUGGCGGCGGCUCCUCCUCGUCUGGUAAUAAUAGAUCUCGAUUUGAGUUGUCGAAUACGAAGCUUGCUCGAUUAAUGUUGAGAAAUCGAAGGUGUUAUAACGAGUGAUGUAUUGGAAAAUCGAAAUUUUGUCUUGCUUGUAUGAAGAGAAGAAGAAUUUUAGGAUUUUGAUUUAUUAUUAUUUUUUGUGUACAAGUCUAGUCUUAGAUUUUGGUGUAUAGUAUAUUGUGAAUGUGAGAGUAUUGGGCAUUGGAAUUAGUACGAGUAAGAUGUUUGGUUGAUUAGAUUCGUGUUUAGUCAAACGCGCUACUAAAAGCCUUCAAAUAAAUGUUGUUAUUUGGUUAAAUUAGUCGCACUCCUCCCUCCUCUGCGAUUAUUUUUUUAUGUAGUGAUUAAAAAGGUAAAAGGCAACUUUGUCCUUUAAAUAAUAACCACAAUUUUGUAAAUUAAAAGACUUUUAAGACAAUUCAUAUGUAACAUCAGAAUUUAACAACUUUAAUACAAGAUUUAAUCUACAGAAUCAAACAUCUAAAUGAUUAAAUCAAUAGUUAGUCAAUGGAAUAUUAAUUCAGUCUUACUUAAUUCAAUGUAAUCUUAUACAGGUAAACAAACGAGACCUAAAGUUUAUAUGGCUAUUACUAGUUUAUACUUACCAACAUAAGAAAUUAGAAAAAAAUGUGGAGUGUUUUUUUUUUUUUUUUUUUAAAUUAGAAAAUUAAAACUCUAAUUAAUUGACAAUUUGGAAACUAUGAAUUAAUGAGUAUACAAAAGAUGUCAGAUUCAUGUUUCAUUAUUUCGUAAUCAUACAAAGGUCAAUUUUAUCCCCAGAUAUAUCUUCCUUCGCUGCAAAAAUUAGCCAAAAAAGGAAUACGCCUGCUCUAGAAUUACUAUUACCCAGGCGGCGGGCGUGUACAUUCUUCCGUUGCACGUGCACACCACGCGCGGAGUGUGCAGGUGGGGGUGGUAUCUUAUUUGAGGAGUUUUUUCAACACUCAGCAGCAGUAAAUACACACCACUUUGGAAUUAUAAGAAUAAUUGCAUGGGGAAAACACCAUAUCGUGUGUACGUUAAAGCAAUUAAUUGUUUACGAAAAUCCCACCCCCCACCACCCCCACCCUCACCCCACCCCACCCCACCCCCUACCAUUAAGUUAUUUUAUUUUUCACUCAAGCAUUUCUACAAACACCUUGUUUUCAUGUUCAUAAAUAAUGGAGAAUUUUCUAUACGUUUUGUGAGAGAGAUAAUAGUUUUUUAUUAUUAUUUCCUGACUCGUUUGUCGAUUGCGCUUAUAAAAAGGAUUUCCGAUUUCUUUGUAUAUGGGCAGAUUUGCCGGAGGUUUUCCAUUCACACAUAGAACGGUUUUUUUUUUUUUUUUUUUUUAGCGCCGGCCAUUUGUGCCGCCUUGUAUAUAUAGGAGAUUCGGAGUAGCUGAAAUGGAGGAUCGGAAUCCGUCCCCGGCUUCUUCUUCUUCGUCGAGCGCUGCUUUGGAUAGACAUCGCAGUCGCAGCCACAACCGGCGCCGCGCGGUGGAGGAGGAAGACGGCGGAGAUCCGGUGGCGGCGGCGGCGUGCACGGGGAAGUCGUGCCAGUCGUGCACGGCGGAGGUGAUCGCCGACUGCGUGGCCGUGUGCUGCUGCCCUUGCUCGGUGGUGAACUUUUUGGCGCUGGCGCUUCUCAAGCUGCCGUGGGCGGUGGCGCGUAAAUACCUCGGCUGCCUGAAAAAUAAGAGACGGCCGAUGCUGGAAGAGAGGAAAUGCUGUAGAGGAGGGGAUAGAGAUGGGAAUUCAGAUAAGGGAAGUGUAGGUAAUGGAACGUCGGAAAUAUGUUUACCGCCGGCCGGAGACGGAAUUUGUGAAGCGGCGGCGGCGAAUGGCAAUUUGGGUACGGCGGAGGAGGUUUGGUUAGAGCUGUAUGAGGUUGGCCAUUUGAAUUUUGGCAGGGUUUCUUUUACUGGACUUCCUUUUCAUAAUAAGGGCAAUUAAGUAAUUUUACUUUUUUAUUUUUUCUUGGCUUAUAAUUGUGGUAAGUUAGUUUGAACCGUAUGUAUGUAUCAUUACUCAUCAGUAACAAUUUGUCACAUUUGAUUUAUUAUUAUUAUUUUUAUUUUAUUUUUAUCUAAGUCAUCCAUCCCGGGUAAAUAUUAAAUUACACUAAAAAAGUAUAUAAAUGAAAUCUAUAUAACUCUAUUCAAAAUUGCAAUCGAGAUUAUUAUAGGACAACCUCUUUUUGUAAGGAAUUAAAAUUCAGACUACUAGUAUAUGAAUAUUAGUUUUAUAUUUAUUACCAAUCGACCUACAUUCAUCACUGUCCCGUUUAUUAAUUACUAAUUUACUAGUUGAAUGGAGACAAAAGUCAUUCAACUAAACUUUAAUAAAUUAAUAUAAUCGAGUUAUAAUUUUUUUUUUAAUGUAGCAAAAUACUAUUAAACUAUUAAUUUAAUUAAUACGUAUUACCAAGUCAGAACUAAAAUAAAUUAUUAUUUAACAAUUUCGUAACACUUACUGCUAGCUGUCACCGUAGUAGUCUUUCUGUGAUCAGGAAAAGCUACAGUACUGAGCCAUACUUGUGAAUUGAGUUUGACUUUCUCUAUUUUAUUUUUAAUUAACUAGGAUAUAUUAUAUAUUUAUUAUUAAUAUACAUAAAUAAUAUCUUCCUCCAACAGGCACAAAUAUGUUUGUUUUAAUUAAUUUCUCAUCUUGUAAUGCUUAGUUGUCAUCUCAUAAUUCUUUUUUCUUUUGUUUGUCGGCUAAUCAUGUUAAGGAUAAAUUUGUUUAGUGAUAUGGAUUAGAUUUAUUUUCUUUUAGUACUUUAAAAUUGUUAUUGAUUAUUUAAUGGAUUAACUUUUAUUACAAAAAUUGGAAGUAAUAAACAAAAGUCCAUCGCAAUUAUUAGGUUCUAUAGUUUUAACAAAACAAUAGCAACAACAAUAAAAUAAUAAAUAAAUAUUGAAAACUAUUAUACGAGAGUGCAGAUUUAGUCACUGCACUUAUGACUGCACGUUCUUUCAUUUAAAAAAACAAAAAUAAGGAUCUGUCCAAAACAAGUUUUGCGUUGCCCAAAUAUUGGGCCUUCAAACAAAAUAAUUUUUUAUGGGGCCCGAAUUUUAACCAUGGUGUAAUUUCCCACCAUCUCUUUAAGUAAAUUUCUAUAAAAACACCUUAAAAAGGGCCCACUAAUAAUAUUAGUUUGUUGUUGGUCCAAAAUUUGUAAAUUCAAAAUAACUUGAUCUUUAUUUUUCAUUUAAAUCAAAAUUAAAAUAUUAUGUUAUGAAAUAGACUCGAAGAAACCAAACUAUGAGAUUAUUGUCUUAUCAAAAAAAAAAACUAUGAGAUUAUUGUAAUAUUUAUUUAUAAGAGUAAAAAGCAGUUUGCCCCCUAAACUAUGGUCCGUUUUGCACUUUGCCCCCCAAAUAAAUUUUUUUUGCACGUUUUUACCUGAACUCGUUAAUUCAUUGCACGGUGCCUCCUAAAAGGAAUAUUCCGGCAAUUUUCACCGGAAUAUUACAACACGUGUGUUGCACAUGAGAUUUUCAGGGGCAAAUUUGUCCCUUCGAUUACAUUCUAUAUUUUAAUCAUUUAAAAAAAAAAAAAAAAGAAAAAAAAAAAGAGUUGUCAUCCCGUCGACCACCACCCUCCCAAAGCCAACCCAUUUCAUCCCAUAUCUCAGAAAAAAAACUCCAGAUUCUCAUCAAUUUUUAAUCUUGCUCCUCUUGGUGGUAGUGGUUAUCUUGCUCAUCUUCUUCCAAUUUCGCAUUCAUCUUCGAUUUCUCUUCGAUUUUUGCCCUCGUUUUUUUUCUUUUUAUAUUGAUUCUUCGACUUGACCGCCACUGUGCCGCCGCAGAAGAUGAACCUACCGGAGCUUCCAUCGGUGGAGGAAUGCGAUCUGCUGAUUGUCGAUUUGGGGCAACUCGGAAAAUUCGCGGUCGGAGCAUGCGAGAAGCAGAUUACUAAGGCCUCGUCGGAGGGGGUUUCUUCUAGGUGGUCAACCAUGGGAUUUCGGGCCAGGUGAUGGAGAUAAUGAGAUGCAGAUAGAUUAAAGGUGUUAAAAAAAUUGACAGAUCUUUUUUCCUCAUCUCUUCUCUCUUUCUUUGAUCCGUUCUCUUCUUUUUUGGUUGAAUAAGGUUGUUGUCCUUUCCCUUAAAUGAAUUAAAAACGUGAAGCUCUCUCUAUCUCUGUGAUAUCAACAAUAAUUGAACCAGUGAGGAUUUGGGGGAAGAAGGCAAAUGUCGGAAGAAUUAACUAAUUUAAAAAAAAUUCCAAAAUUCUUCCAAGGGGGCGAUUACGAGGGGUGGGUUCAUAAACGGGAUCCACAUUAAGAACAUGGGUUCCAGGAUCAUUAGCAAUGGAUGAAUCAAACGGGUUGUAUUUCAAAACGGAUUUUACGGUUUUUUCCUCGACCGCAGCAGCUCCGGCGGCGAAAAUGGAGGUCUUGCGGCGGGUUUGAGAGGAAAUGAACAUGGAUUAAAACAUGGGUUGGUGGAGACUGUGCAAAAAUUCUCCAUUGAUGAAGUCCUGAAGCAGGACUGUGUAAUAAGCUGCGUGUGUGUGUGUCAGUGUGUGAUGUGUGGGCGGGGAGAGAGGUAGAGAGAGAGGUGGUGGCUCGGUGGGCGAAAGGAAGAAGAUGAUAAUAUUUUUUUUAUUUUUUGUUUUUCUUGUUUUAUUUUUAUUUAGUUUUUUGUUUUUUAAAGAUUAAUUUAUAUUUAAUAUACAACAUGUAAGUGAAUGGACGAAUAUACCCCUGCGAAUGUCACGUGCAAGGCACAUGUUUUAACUUUUCGGACAAAAUUACCGAAAAAUUGAGUUCAGGGGGCACCGUGCAACGAAUUAACAAGUUCAGGUAAAAACGUGCAAAUUUCUUUUGUUUGGGGGGUAAAGUGCAAAUCGGCCCAUAAUUUAGGGGGCAAACUGUUUUUUACUCUAUUUAUAAAUUAAAGUUCAUAAUAUUUGAUGGUGAUAUAUCAUAUAUAUUCUUGUUCAGACAGUCUAAUUUCAUUUCAUGUUGCAUAUAUGCUUAGCAAUUCUGUCGCCUUGUCAUUUCCAUAAUUGAGCAUUGCAUUUUGGGUAUCCAUAAAUCAACUCAUGUGAGCAUUAUAUAUACACACACAUGAUGAGAACAAACACAGGAAUAUAAUAUGGUGUUGAAUGCAAUAAACCCGAAUAUGUACAAUCGAAACAAUACGCAGAAAAGAUAGGAUGCAAGUAAAUUCAAACAAAAACUCGGCCCCAUUCGCAAAAGAAACGAUUCCCAGAAAGUCAAAUUAGAAACAUAGAUCAGAACAACAGCAGCACGUCUAACGGACUACUUGUCCAACUAUCGAGUUAGUCGAUUACUACGAUACUACUUACUAUCCCAUUCAAAAGUCCUAAAGAGAAAUAAAAUAAAGAUCGAACAAAUACCCCCAUCGGAAAAUACUCUUUUCAACUUUCUUUAAUACAGAGAGACGUCUUCUCAGCAAUAACACGUACCUUUUCACUCGCAUUUUCCAUAUUCUCCGUUAGAUUCUUCAUCUCAUCCUUCAAGCUAAUUCUAUCCUCGUCCGAAAAUCUCGAACAGUGAUUCACCAUAAUCGCCGUCAUUAUCUCUAGUUUCUGCCUAAUCACUCCAACAUCCGAAACUAAAUCAUCCACCGUUUCUUCAAACGAGAUUUUCGGGCAAGACUUUGACCUAGCUUUCUUUCCUUCGGUCUUCACUGCUGAUUUGAGAGGUUUUCGGUUAGAUGAUCCGGGCUUUUCUUGAACAAUGCCAUUUUCAACAUUCUUCACACGAGAGGGCAAUGAUUUUCUCUUCUUACCAUUUUUCGAUUUCCGAUAAAUUUUAUAGUCUUGUCCGUGAUAAUAAGUCGAGCUUCUGAAAGCAGAAAAGAACGAACAGACGAUCCCAAGUGAUCCCUUCUUGCUCAAGAAAAGAGGAUCGACAGCAGCAAAACGUAUACCCGAUACCAAUUCAUUUACACGAACAUCAAUAUCAGAAACAGGGAAACUCAUUUUUUUAUCGGAACUCGAUUUAACAAUAGACCUAUCCAGCCCUUUGACCUCAACGUUAACCAGUUUUUCAUCGUAUUCCGAUUCAAUCUUGAAACUUGAAAUUUCCAUAUCCAACUUCGGAUUUCUAUAAGGCGAAGACAAGUACUUACUCUUCUUCCUUCCCCUCGACGUAGAUAUAUUCUCCGAUUCAUCUUUCGCUCGAUCGGAAGUAAUUUUUUCAGCAAGAGCAACUUCAGUUUCCUCAUUUUUAACUACCAAAGCACCUCCAUUUACCCCAUCCACAACCCCAUUACCACUUUUUUCUGCAUGCGAAACAUUCUCCUUCGGUAUUUUCGGGAUUUCAGAACCAACUUUCUUUACCUCUUUACCCUUCCUUUUCCUCUUCCGAAAUUCAGGCUCGACAUUUUUUACUUCCGCCAUAAGUUCAACGACACUUUUUCGCUUCCUUCUAGAAUAAACAAUAUCAUCAGAGAAAUUGUUCCGUGACUUAGCAGAACUAAUUGCGGGUGAAGAAAGCCAAUCAUCCUUUAUCGGACCAGGAAUCGGAAUUUCAGUAUGGACUCUUAAAUCAUCAUUUACUUGAAGAAUAUUCUUAUCCUUAUCCUCCAAACCGUCAAUAUAAACGGGCUUUUCGCAAUACACGGGCAACCGAAACCCACCUUUAGAAUAGUAGAAGGCAGAGAGGUAGCUUCUCAAUACUGCAACGUCAAACACACUAUCGAAACAAACACCCUUUGCAAAAUUCAACACCUUCGAAACUAUCUCGGACGAAUCGAAUUCUGGCACAGACAGCCUUUGAAAGUCAACUUCGGGAACAAGAACACCCGGUUUUACAGCGGCAUUCGAAGCCACUUGCCUCGCCAGGUGGCAUCUCUUCUCCAGUGGGAUACACUUACACGUCAUAUUUGCCUCGACAACUCUACCGAUCUCAUCGGUGGAUUUUUGUAUGGCUUUUAGGAAGUUAUUAGAAGGAUCCUCGUUUUUUGACAUUUGGCGGAAAUUUUUGGAGAAGGGUAUUAGCUGUGAGGGUAAGCACCAAGAGCAGGAACCGUCACCGAAUAAGGCAACGAGGAUGCGAUUCUCUUGGCUAUGUCGGAUGGCGAUUUCCGAAGCUUCCUUUUUGUCAUAAAUCUGCCCUGGCCACCAUGGAUGAUUCUUGAGUUUGCACCAAACAAAAUCACCCACUCGAAACUCGGUUUCCUCCUCGCCUAAUGCCACGUCAGCAUACGAACAAAUUUUGCCACUUCCGUUCGAUCGCAUAUCAGUCAAAGCAGAGUCAAUAGCCCGAUUACUAGCAUCUAUAUAGACCCCAACCAGAUUUCCUGGAUCUUUAGAACCCGACCCGCUCGUUAAAUCAGCCAUCUAUUUGCAGGAAACAAGGUACCGGAAAAAAAUCUGUGUUUCUUCAACGAUGGUAUACAAAAUGUAUCGUAACUUAAGAGCUGUAAAACACCAAAAGAAGAAAGAAGUAAUAAAUGUAACCUAGUUAUUUGUUCAUCAACCACAAACUUCUCCAGGGUUUCGAUAAAUCCCUGUAUGAAAAACUUGUUGAAACACAGUAGAUACAUCAUACAAACUACAUGUAAGCGGCAAAAUUUUGAAUCAAAAACUAAAAAUAAAAAAAUAAAAAAAUGAAACAGCAAUUGCAGAUUUUAAUUACGAGAAAAUAAAUAAUUGAAAAAAAAAUCUAACACGCCUAAGAAAAUUAAUGAUAAGCAGAGCAAAUAGGAAAUACCUGAACAAGACAGUAAAUAAAAAUUUCUUCGACGCCGUAAUGUUGUCGGAGAAUCACCUUCUUCAAAAUUCUAUCUCCCAAAGGCAGAAACUAGGGUUUGGCAAAUGAAUACUCCAAUUUGCAGCUACAUUUGUACAAUAUUGUUUGGAAAAAAGAAAAAAAAUAGUGUAAUUAUUAGUGAAAAUAAAUGCUCAGCUUCACAGAGUAGCUUUUCCAGGCGGUUGACGUUUCGGUUUUGCAAUUUGAAAUGCUGAUAGUCUAUUCGUCCAGGUGCAACAGUAAAAAAUUCGUGCCCACUCGCCAUCACGUGCGUGGCAUUGCAACGUUUAGGUUUCUCAAUGCGGAAGAUGGCAAAUAACAUGGCGAGUAGCGUACACGUGAUGUGUAUGGAGAGUGAGCGACGGAAUGGAAAGCCAGAAAUUUACACGCCAGCGUCUGACAGUUUACAGUUCGCGUUUUGGUGUAUGUAGCUGCGACGGUGCCAAAUGUAUUAAUUUUGAUUUUAUUUUGCUUUUCUUUAUUUAUCUAAUUUAAAUAUAUAUAUAUUUUAGCAAAUAUUUGUACAUAUAUUUCAAUUUUAGUAAUUAUUACACUAAAUUCAAUUUUAGUAAUUAUUACACUAAAUUCAUGAAUUUCAUGGGUGUGUGUUUACAAUUAAUUUCUUAAACUUAUAUUAUAAAAUUAAAUCUUCUAUAGAAUUUAUUUUCUUCUUAUUAAUAAUUAAUAAUUAAUUAAUAAGAUAAUUACUAUAAAUCUUUUUUUUUUUAUAAAAUUCAAGUCCAUUAAAGAGGAACGCAGACCUUUGCGCUAUAUUGAAAGGCUAAGUACCAACUCUUAGUAUAAACUAAAUGAAAUUCAAUUGCACAAAGAUUGAAGACAGUUGAUGAGAAUUAAUCAUUCAUUUUCCCAAAGAAGAAAUAAAUAGUACGUUUUCUAAUUAAAUCGUUUGUAAUGUUGGAACUAAGAAGAAUGAUUAAUCAUAGUAGGAUUAAAGGGAAAAGCAAAUAUGGGUUUGGAUAGAUUACAUUACAAAUCCAGGAUUAAUCUACACCUGAUAAUUCAUAAUAAACUCAAUAAAAAAGAUAAACAGAGACCAUACAAAAAUCACCUUUGUUUUAAAAAUAAUCAUGAUACUAAACAAUAGAAAUCUUGGCACCGGCUUCUUCCAGCUGUUUUUUGGCCUCCUCCGCCUCCUCUUUGGAAACCCCCUCCUUGAAUUUCUUCGGCAGUCCUUCAAUUAAUUCCUUGGCUUCUUUCAGAGCCAAGCUAGUCAAAGCCCUAACCACUUUAAUGGUGGCGAUUCUCAUAUUGCUCGGCACCUCCUCGAUCACGACAUCGAACUCCGUCUUCUCCUCGACGACGGCGGCCGCUUCAGCGGCGACUGGAGCGGCGACGGCGGCGGGGGCGAAGGAGGCGGCGGUGACGCCGAGCUUGUCCUGGAGGUACUCGACGAGCUUCUGAGCGUCGGCGAGGGUUAGGUUGGAGAUCUGGUCGCCGAGCUCGACGACCUUCUCAGGGGCAUCGACGGCGGAGAUUGGGCGGACGGCGGAGGUGCGGCGGCGGAGGAGUGCGGGGGUGGAUUUGAGGGGGAAUUCGAUGGAUUGUUUGGGGAAUGUGGAGGAAGGGAGGGCGGAAUACGCUGUGGUGGGGGUUGCGUAGGAAGGAGAGCGGAGUGUGACGGUGGAUAGCGCAGAAGCCAUGGCCGAAUUUGGGAGAUAGG
rnacentral:lncRNA from 1 species